AUAUUGCUAGGUUGCAUGAAGAUCCAAUUCUUGUUUUAAGAAAGCAAACACUAGUUGAUCCUAUAGAUGACAAAAUUGAUUCUUCCCAUAAGAAUGAAUUGAGUCCACCUAGUGCUAGCACUUGUAACUUGAAUAAGGUCCUAAUGCCAAGUGAUGAGAGUAUUCACACUCUAGUUGACUCUUGUGAAAACCAAGGUGAGUCUACGUUGGUAUGUGAGUUGCCAACAACUAGUGAGGAUGUGAAUGAUGAUCAAUCCACUCAUGAAUGUAGUCCACUACUUGAGCAUAUAUGUGAUAUGUUUGAUAAGUCUCAAGUUAGUGAUGAUGUUGAUAGAGUUGAUCAUGGGAUUGGCGAUAAUUCUUUGAACAUGUAUAAUGAAAGUCAUAUUGAUAGUUUUGCUCAAAGAAACCAAGAAAAGGAACAAUUGGGUGAAGGUGGCCUUGAAUUGCUCAAAUAUUUAGGAAACUCGAAUUGUGAUUAUUCUUGUGAAAAUAUUUUUAUGUGUGAUCCUUUUGUUGCUUAUGGUGAUUUAUAUCUAUGUGGGGAUUACUCUCUUGAAAGAGAUAGUGGUGCAUAUACUAGUGGGGAUUAGAGAUUCCAUAUACUCCUUCAUGUGUUUCCUAUGUUGAGAUUGUUAAUAACAAUGAACUUGAAAUUAGUAAGUACUUGUAUGAGGACACCAUAGUUGGAGUUGACUCGUGUGACACCUUUCCCUACCCUCUUUAUGCUCAUGAUAUUUUCCAUAGUGAUAUAGAGGGUAUGACUAAUUUUGAGGGUGACACCUUAGGGUAAAGUAAGUAUGGCCGAAAACCAGGGCCAUGGAUACUUCUCCCAUUUGAACCCGAUACCAUCUUAGGGUGGGAAAGGAUUACACUUAGCCUAUUUUCCUUUUUUGUCUUGAUGCUUGCCCGAGCUAUCUUCUUUGUAGUAUUUGUACCAAUCUUUUUAUGAUUAAAACAAAGGACCCGUGGCUAUACUUUAAGUUUGUUCUACCUCAUCAUGUCAUGUUGAUGUGUAAAUUCUUUGCUAACCCUAACCCCUCGUGUCUGAGGAUGUGUGCUUGUUUGUCUUCUCUUAAUUUUGCAUGGUACAAAUUCGAGGUCGAAUCCUUUUCAAGAGGAGGAGGAUGAUACGAGUACGAUCAUGUAGGUGGACUUAUGAGGGAGUAUGUUAUACCCAAAACUUGGUGUGUGCAAAUAAAGUGCAAAGGAUCACCUAAACGGACACCAAAACUGUCCAUUCAUAGCACUCCAAGGGCACCUAUUGAAGCAUUUCACUAAGGGGUAUUUUGGAGAUUUCACACUUUAUUUUGUAUCCCGCUAUAAAUAGAAUAAUGUAAGGUUUCAUUCAUUAGUUUUUUGUUGAAGAUGAAAGAGUAACACUUAGAAAUAUCUCUCUUGUGAGAAUAGCACUCCCAUGGUCGAAAUUGUAACUAGGGAAAUCAACUUGAGUAUGGAAUCACUCGUGUUGGAUUCAAGCUAGGAAAUGUUGGAUUCUUGAGAGACCGAGGUCACUCUUGUGCCAAAGUAAGAGUUAGGUAUUUGUUUUGUGUGAUGUUAAAGGUCCAAGAGUGGAAUAGGCUUUUGGUUUUUUAAGAUUAUAUACCUUCAAUUUGUCUAACUAUCUAUCCUUUGGUUUCUUUGUAAUCGUGUAGUAGUAUUGAUGUUGUAACCGUGUGUUUAAGUUGUUAAGGUGGAAUUCGAAAUUUGUCUAUUAUUCAUCUUGUUCUUGUUGUGCUGCUACUAUUUUGGUGUUAUAUACACCAUUGUGCCUUGUAUUCUUCUUGUUGGUAACGAAUCCAAGGGUGGUCAUCAAAAAAGGUUCUUGGUUUCUUGACUAGUGAACUGAUUUUGGUGUUUGUUUCGGGUCUCAUUAUCUUUCUUAUAUCAGUGGGUCCAGGGUCUUAGCAUGCUAUGGUCGAAAAUCAAUUGGGUCGUGACAGGGAGGAUGGAGAGUGGCCUAGUGCAGGCCAUUUGAAAAAAACUUGGCCAUUUGGGUGGUUAAACAGGCGAAACAACAUGAACAGGGCAUUUCAUGCUAAAUCGAUGUGCUAUAAACCAUGAUUCUGGGAGUUGGCCCAGGGUUCGGGCGUGUUGUGGGCCAAAAAUUGACUAGGUCAUGCUUGAGGGGCUGGGGAGUGGCUUAGUAUGGGUCACUUGAAAAAAUGAGGCUAUUUGUGUUGUCAAACGAGAGAAACGACACUAAUGUGGAAUUUUAGUGAUAAAUUAGUGUGCUAUAACCUACGGUUCUGAGGGUGGGCCCAGGGUCAGGGUGUGCUGUGGGCAGAUAAUAGAUUGGGUCGUGCUAGGGAGUGUGGGGAGCAGCCUAGUGUGGGCUAUUUAAUUAAACAGGGUUAUUUGGGUAGUCAAACAGGCAAACCGACACAAAUGGGGAAUUUUCAGGCAUAAUCGGUAUGCUAUUUCCCACGGUUCUGAGGGUGGACCCGGGGUUUGGGCGUGCUAAGGGAGGAAAAGCAACUGGGUCAUGCCAGGGAUGCUCGAGAGUGGCCUAGUGUGGGCUGUCUGGAAAAACCAGGCCAUUUAGGUGGUCAAACGAGCAAAACAACAUAAACGGCACAUUUUCGAGCCUAAUUGGUAUGUUAUUGCCCAUGAUUUUGGGGAUGGAUCGGGCUUCAGGUGUGUUGUGGGCUAAAAAUUGAUCGGGUCAUUCCAGGGAGGCUAGGUAGCGGUCUAAUGUGGGCCAUUUGAAAAAAGGGGUCCAUUAAGGUGGUCAAAUGGGCAAAACGCUACGAGCAGGGCAUUUUCAAGCCAAAUCGAUGCACUGUAGCCCACGGUUCGGGUGUGUUGUGGGCCAAAAAUUGGUUGGGUCGUGCUAGAUAGGCUGGAGAGCAGCCUAGUAUUGGAUGUUUCAAAAAAUGAGCCCAUUUGGGUGGUCGAACGAGAGAAACAGCAUGAACGGGGUAUUUUUGGCCCAAAUCGGUGUGCUAUAACCCUUGGUUCUAGGAGUGGGCUUGGGGUCCGGGCGUGUUGUGAGUUAAAAUUUCAUCGGGUCAUGCCAGGGAGGCUGAAAAGUAGCCUAGUUUGGGCCAUUUGAAAUAACGAGGCCAUUUGGGUGGUCAAACGAAAGAAACAUUACAAAUGGGGAAUUUUCAAGCCAAAUCAGUGUGUUAUAGCCCACGGUUCUGGGGUUGGGAUCAAGGUUCGGGCAUUCUGUGGGCCAAAAAUUGAUUGCAUCAUGCCAUAAAGGCUGGGGAGUGACGUAGUGUGGGCUGUUUGAAAAAAUGGGGCCGUUUGGGUGGUCAAACAGGCGAAAUACACGAACGGGGCUUUUUCGGGCCAAAUUAGUGUGCUAUAACCCACGAUUUUGGGGGUGGGCUUGGAUUCCAGGCGAGCGUUUGGCUAAAAAUUGAUUGCGUCAUGCCAGGGAGGAUGGAGACCAGUCUAGUGUGGGCCGUUUGAGAAAAUGGGGCCAUUUGGGUGGUUGAACGGGCAAAAAAGGUGCAAAUGUGGCAUUUUUGGCCAAAUUGGUGCCCUAUAGCCCAUGAUUUUAGGAGUUGGCUGAGCAUCGGCCGUUCUGUGGAUCAAAAAUCGACCGGGUCAUGCCAGGGAGGUUUGGGAGUGGCCUAGUGUGGGCCAUUUGAAAAAAUGAGGUCAUUUGUGUGGUAAAAUAGGAGAAACGGCGCGUAUGGGGUAUUUUUGGGCCAAAUCGGUCCGCUAUAGCCCACGUUUCAUGGGAUGUGCUCGGGGUUCGGGCGUGCUGUUGGCUAAAAAUCAACGGGGUUGUAUCAGGGAGGCUUGGGGGCGACCUAGUGUUGGUCAUUUGAUAUAACAGGGCCAUUUGAGUGGUCAAACCGGAGAAACGGAGUGACCAGGGCAUUUUCAGGCUAAAUCGAUAUGCUGUAGCCCACGAUUUUAGGGGUGGACCCAGGGUCUGGGCGUGCUGUGGGCCGUAAAUUGACCGCGUUGUGCUAGGGAGGCUGAGGAGUGACCUAUUAUGGGUCAUUUGGAAAAAGGGGGCCAUUGGGUGGUCAAACGGGUGAAACAACACGAACAGGGCAUUUUCGAGCCAAAUCGAUAUGUAAUAGCCCACGGUUCUGGGGGUUGGCUCGGGUUCUAGCCGUGUUGUGUGCCAAAAAUCGACCGAGUCAUUACAGAGGAGUUGAAGAGCGGCCUAGUAUGGUCUGUUUGAAAAAACAGGGCUAUUUGGGUGAUCAAAUGGGUGAAACGGUGUGAAUAGGGCAUUUUCAGGCCAAAUUAGUUUGCUAUAGCCUACGGUUCUGGGGGUGGGUGCAGGGUCCGAGCGUGCUGUGGAUUGAAAAUUGAUUAGGUUAUGCCAGGGAGGAUAGGGAGCGGACUAGUGUGGGUCAUUGGUAAAACUGGGGUCAUUUGGGUGGUCAAAUGAGUGAAACAGCGUGAACUGGGCAUUUUUGGGAAAAAUUGAUGUGCUAUAGCCCACAGUUCCGAGGGUGGGCCCAGGGUUCGGCCGUGCUGUGGGCCAAAAAUUGACCAGGUCGUGCCAGGGAGGCUGAGGAGCGACCUACUGUGGAUCGUUUGAAAAAAAGGGGGCCAUUGGGUUGUCAAACGGGCAAAACGACGUGAACGGGGCAUUUUCAAGCCAAAUUAGUGUGCUAUAGCCGACGGUUUUGGAGGUGGUCCCGGAGUCCGGGCAUUCUGUGGGCCAAAAAUUGCUCGGGUCAUGCCAAGGAGGCUAGGAGCACCCUAGUGUGGGAUGUUUGAAAAAAUAGGGCCAUUUGGGUGGUCAAAUGGGCAAAACAGAGCGAAUAGGGCAUUUUUGGGCCUAAUCAGUGUGCUAUGGCCCAUGAUUUUAGGGGUGGGCUGGGCUUCAGGCAUUUUUGGGUCCAAAAUCAAUCGGGUCAUGCCAAGGAGGCUGGGGAAUGGUCUAAUAUAUGCCGUUGGAAAAAAUAGGGACAUUUAGGUGGUCAAACGUGCAAAACGAUGUGAACGAGGUAUUUUUGGGCUAAAUCGAUGUGCUAUAGUCCACGGUUCCAGGGGUGGAACUGGGGUUCGGGCAUACUAUGGGCCAAAAAUUGACUUAGUCAUGGUAGGGAAGCUAGGGAGUGGCCUAGUAUGGACUUUUUGAAAAAACGGAUCUAUUUGGAUGGUCAAACAGGCAAAACGGUGUGAACGGGGAGUUUUCAGGCUAACUCGAUGUGCUAUAGCACAUUGUUCCAAAGGUGGGCCUGGGGUUCGGGUGUGCUGUGGGCCAAAAAUUGACCUAGUCAUGUCAAGGAGGCUGAAGAGCAGCCUAUUGUGUGUCGUUUGAAAAAACAUUGCCAUUUAGGUGGUUAAACAAGAGAAACAACCCGAAUGGGGCAUUUUUACGCUAAAUCGGUGUGCCAUAGCCCGCGGUUCUGGGGUGGGCUCAGGGUCCGAACGUGCUAUGGAUCGAAAAUCGAUUCGGUCAUGCCAAGGAGGCUAGCGAGUGGCCUAGUGUGGUCUGUUUAAAAAAAUAGGGCCAUUUGCAUGGUUAAACGGGCAAAACAAUACGAAUGGGGCAUUUUUAGACUAAAUUCGUGUGCUAUAACCCACAGUUUCGGAGGUAGGCCCGGGUUUUGGGCAUGCUGUGAGUCAAAAAUUGACCAAAUUGUGCCAAGAAGGCUUGAGAGCAGCCUAGUAUAUUUUUUUUGAAAAAACAUGGCCAUUUGGGUGGUCAAAUGGAUAAAACGGCAAGAACGGAACAUUUUCGGGCCAAAUCAGUGUACUUUAACCUACAGUUCUGAGGGUGGGCCUAGGUUCGGGCAUGCUGUUUGAUGAAAAUCGAUCGGGUCAUGCCAUGGAGGCUGAGGUACGGCCUAGUGUGUCUGUUUGAAAAAAUAGGGCCAUUUGGGUUAUCAAACGGGCAAAACAGCACGAGCGAGGCAUUUUCGAUCUAAAUCGAUGUGCUAUAGCCAAUAGUUCCGGGGGUGGGCCCAAGGUUCAGGCGUACUUUGGGAUAAAAAUUGAUUGGAUCAUGCCAGGUAGGCUGGGGAGCGGCCUAGUAUGGGCCAUUUGAAAAAUGGGGCCAUAUGGGUGGUCAAACGAGAGAAACGACGCGAACAAGGCAUUUUUAGGCCAAAUCGAUGUGCUAUUGCCCACAGUUCCAGGGUUGGACAUAGGGUACGGGCGUAUCGUUGGCCAAAAAUUGAUUAUGUCAUGUCAGAGAGGCAGAGGAGCAGCCUAGUGUAGCCCGUUUUAAAAAACGGGGCCAUUUGGAAGGUCAAAUAGGCGAAACAGCACUAACGGGGCAUAUUCGGGCAAAAUCGGUGUGCUAUAGCCCAUGAUUUCAGGGGUGGGCUUGGGUUCCAAGCGUAUUAUGGGCCAAAAAUUGACUAAUUCAUGCCAAAGAGGUUGGGGAGAAGUCAAUUAUGGGUUGUUUUAUAAAACAGGACUAUUUGAGUGGUCAAACAGGUGAAACGGCAUGAACAGUCCAUUUUUGGGUCAAAUAGGUGUGCUAUAGCCCAUGGUUCUGGGGGGUGGGCCUGGGUCCGAGCGUGCUAUGGGCCAAAAAUCAAUUGGAUCAUAAAUUUGGCCAUUUGGGUGGUCAAACAGGCGAAAUUGCAUGAGUGGGGCAUUUUUAUGCUAAAUCGAUGUGCUAUAGCCUAUGGUUCUGAGGGUGGGAUUGGGGUACGGGCAUAGUGUGUGCCAAAAAUCAAUUGAGUCAUGCUAGGUAGGCUGGAGAGCGGCCUAAUGUGGAUGUUUUUAAAACAGGGUCAUUUGGGUGGUCAAAUGAGCAAAACGGUGUGAACAGGACAUUUUUAGGCUAAAUCAAUGUGCUAUAACCCACGCUUCUAGGGUGGGCCCGGGGUUUCGGCAUCUUGUGGGCCAAAAAUUAAUAGGUUCAUGCCCGAGAGGCUGGGGAGCGGCCUAGUGUUGGCCGUUUCAAAAAAUGGGGCCAUUUUGGCGGUCAAACGGGCAAAACAGCAUGAAUGGGGCAUUUUCAGGCCUAAUCGGUGUGAUAUAGCCCACGGUUUUGGGGGUAGACCUGGGAUACGAUGUGCUGUGUGUCAAAAAUUGACUAAGUCAUGCCAAAGAAGCUGGGGAGUGGCUAGUAUUGGCCGUUUGAAAAAAUGGGGCCAUUUGGAUGGUUAAACGAGUGAAACAUCGCAAACAAAGCAUUUUUAGGCCAAAUCAGUUUGCCAUAGCCCAUGGUUUCGGGGUUAGGCUUGGGUUCGAGCGUUUUGUGGGCCAAAAAUUGACCGGGUUAUGCCAGGGAGGCUAGGGAGCGUCCUAGUGUAGGCCGUUGAAAAAAUGCGGCCAUUUGGGUGGUCAAAUGGGUGAAACGGCGUGAGCGGAGCAUUUUUGGGCCAAACCGGUGAGCUAUAGCCCAUGGUUUCAGGGGUGAGCCCAGGCUUCAGGCGUGCUGUCGGCUGAAAAUCGAUCGGGUUAUGCCGGAAGGCUGGGGAGUGCCCUAGUGUGGGCUGUUUGAAAAAAUGGGGGUAUUUGGGUAGUCAAAUGGGCAAAACAACGCGAUUGGGGAGUAUUCAGGCCAAAUCAGUGUGCUACAACCCAAGAUUUUGGGGGUGGGUGACAGCGCACACGCAAUUUUAUGUGGUAUUAUAUAGUAUUCAAGUGGCCUAAUGUUAGCCAAGUAUCAAUCCUCUAAAAUUUAGGAGCAAAUUUUAAGAAAAAGUAUAAGAAACAUACUACUAACAUGUAACCAUGUAGGGUGGCUAAUGUAUUUUAAAAUUGAAAUGGUAAUUAUGAAUUGAAAAAGAAUAUAUAAUUAUGUUAAGAGUUGGCAACUGAUCUGUGAUUUUUGAAUUACGUUUGUCACAUGUUAAUUGCAAUUGAGAGAAAAAAGGAAAGUGGAGUAUAGUUGUAUUUUUGUUACCGUAAUGUUGCAACUGCUAUUCAAAUGUGUCAAACAAAAUGGCCAUGGACUAAAAUUACUUCGGUCGACUAGCCAUUUUAUGAAAAUUGGCUUAAACAUGGGUCAUUUCUUUUGAGAUGGUCAACCCAUAUCUUUUUUCCAAGAAAUUAAGGAAAUAACUCAUAAAGACUUGGAGAAAAUAAAAUACUUCAGUGGUGUGAUCAAAGAAAAUUAUUUUAUUAAUAACUCAAAGACAUAUAUUUAUAACUAAAUUUCUAACUAGAAAAUAUAAAAUAUGCUACUAAACAUAUCUUCUAAAUUCAAAUAACAAACAAAGAGGAAACUAACUCCUAAGUUCAAGCCACACAAGAUUCUAACAAAAAUAAUUUUAAAAUCCUACUAGUUAGCUACUUUAUUUCUGAGACAUAUUUUCAACACGCCUCCUUGGAUCAAAAAUUGAAGAUUGUAGUCCCGACUAAAUUUGACCUCAUGAACAAAUCAGCUAGUUUAUCUCUUAUUUGUAAGGCUUGUGUUCAUUUUCUAUUGGAUUACAUAAGAAGCUUUUACCUCUCAUUUCAACUUGUAAAAUCUCCUAAUUAGUGGAAUCAAAGAUCCGACAAUAUUUGUCUGCAAAUAAUAAUUUAAAUCCUUCAAGUCAUUAGUUGGACUAACAAACUUUUAUCAAUAUCAGGCAAGUAAAGGACUAGAGAAAUUUUGUUUGUACCUGAACUUGCUUUGCUUCCAACAGCCCCCUUUCCUUUUGCAGGAAUAUAAUUACCAUUUUCAAUUCUGACUUUCUUAUUUUUUAUAGGCACAAACUAUUUAAAAGAGUUUUUUCAUAUGUCAUGUGAUUUUUACAACUACUGUGAAUCAUUCAAAAAUCAGAUUUCUCGAUUGAAAAAUAUGUUGUCACAAAUAAGUGGUCUUCUUCUUCUUCUUCUUCUUCUUCUUCUUCUUCUUCUUCUUCUUCUUCUUCUUCUUCAUUCGUGACUUGGGCUACUUCAUAUUUUUUAUAUUUGCUUUUAUAAAUCAUAGCUUCAUGACUAAGAUGCUUGCAGAUCUUAUAUUGUUCAUCGGCUCUUACCCAAAAUUUAGAUUGAGGAUGACAUAUUUUGCCACAGUGCUAGCGAGGUUGGUAAUUUUUUCUUAAAUUAUUUCCCUUUCUUUGAGUCUUGUGGUUGGCUACCAAGGCUCCUUUAAUCAUACCAUCCUACCUCAUAAGUCUCAUUUGCUUUUGUAUCUGCAAUGUAUUUAACAAUUCUGCCAAGUUAAUCUUGGACAUGUCUUUUGUGUUACUUUCAGGCACUGUAACAAGAAUUUUUUCAAUAAUUCUUAAAUACUUAAACUUUGUGCCAAGCAAUCUUACCUUGUUAACAAUGCCAAGAAGUCGGUCUGGGUACUCUUUGAACAAUGCCAAGAAGUCGGUCUGGGUACUCUUUGACUGUCUUAUAUUUCUUCAUCUUUUGUAAUUCGGAUUCUCUUAUUAUAUUCAACACAUUUAUGCCUCGUAUUCUUCAAUUUCCUGUAUAUUCUUCCUUUAGAUAAUCUCAAAUUUCUUUUGCUAAUUUGAAAGCCAUAACUCUCAUGAAAAUUAUUGCACACACACUAUCAAAUAAAGUUGCUUUCACUUUUGAGUUUAUAAUGUUCUUUUUCUCUUGAUUUUCGAUCUGGGCCACCGUGGAAUUAUUGAGCAGUUGAAGAACAUCAUAAUCCUCUUCCACAACCUCUCAAAGAUCUAAAUCCUCAAGAUAAGUCUCCAUUCUUAGUGCCCAGCUAUUUGGGAAAAGUUAUCUUCAGAAUUGAUCUCAAUCACAGAUUCCACAAGAAAAUGACUCUAGAUAGCAAUUAUUGAUUUUAGCAAAGAGAUUAAGGAAAUAACAAAUAAAGACUUAGAGAAAAUAAAAUACCUCAAUUGUUGUCAAAGAAAAUUAUUUUACUAAUUACUCAGAGACAUGCAUUUAUAGCUAAAUUUCUAACUAAAAAAAUAUAAAACUAUGCUACUAAACUUAUCUACUAAAUUCAAAUAACAAAAAAGAGGAAACAAACUUAAUAAAGAGAAAACUAACUCCUAACACUCUGUUUAGAUAGUGGUUUCCUAUGGUAUGAUAUAGUAUAAUUACUCAGAUAACCAUGUUUGUUUUGAUUGUUUCUUAAAUGUAUGGUAUGAUAUGAUUUAAUUUCAUGAUUUGGUAACUAUGAAAAACCUCACUUUAUUUAACCACACAUUUUGUGGUAUCCCAUGGUUUGCUUUUUUUUACCCAAUUAUGUCCUUACUUAAUAUUAUAUAAUCCUAUUUUAUCCUCCACCUUAUAUUAUUUAACUCCACCUUUUACCCCUCUUAGCCCUGGGACCCAUCCCUCCUCCUCACCACCACCACCCCACCCUGCCCCUAAGUUUUUUUUUUUAAAAUUCAUUUUGUAGAGAAUUUCAAACUUUUUACUUAUCCUACCCCUACCUCGACCGAUCCAACCUUGUCAAACACUCACUUUAUUUUUCUUUAUAUUUUCUUUUUUUUUUUAAAAUUCAAAAACUUUUUCUUACUACACCCUCACCUCGAGCACUUCCCCCUACCUACUAGCCCUCUCCCAUCAAUUUCAUUUUUAUUUUUUAAAACUGUCAAGAAAAUUUUCUUACACCACCCCCACUGCCUACCAGCUCCCCUCCCACACACACAAAAAAAAUUAAAUUAUUUUUAAUAGAAAAAACUUUUUUUCGUACACCUUACCCUCCCCCUACCCCCAAAUCCACUACACCCACCCCAAAUAUUUUUUCAAAAAAAAUUAAUUUUUUCUCAUCCCACCCCCUUUGUCAUGUUCAUUUUCAUUAUUUUGUGUUAAAUAUAUACAAAUAUUUUUAGAAAAUAUUUUUCUACUUGUGUUUCGAACACAAGAAAAUAAGUAAGAAAUAAUUUAAUUUUUUAGAAAAUAUUUUUUUAUUCCAUACCGAACACACUCAUAGCAUAAACAUAUGCAUUCAAACUUUGUACUUGUCAUAGGUGUCAGAUCUCAAAAUAUCAAAAAGAAAUAAAAUUUGUUACUAUAAAAAAAAAUGAAGGAAAAAUGGUUUGAUGGACCCUUGUACUAUGCCUGUUUUGUAAUGUGGACACUUCUACUUACAUGUUUAUCAUCUAGGCCCUUGAACCUAUUAAAAAGCAACAUUUUAAACACAUUUUCUGAUGUAGCAUCCUAUGUGACUGGGACCACAUAGGAGCAUGUACUUUAGCCUCCUAGAGGGCAUCAACCAUCAAAAAAGGGCCCCUAACGUUUAUAAAAGACCUUAUAAAUUCUCCUUCUUCCUCAUUUGCUUGCAACACCAUUGUUGGAACAAUUUGAGCUUUUUUUCUCCCUUCGCUAUUUUUUCUCUCUCUAAGUUCUUGUUCCUUAAUUUUUUUCCUGCUUUGUUUGUAAUAUUGAAAAGUUAAUUUUUUAUGUAAUUUUUUGCAACACCAUGAUAGUUCGGGUUUGUUAUUGUGGGUUUUACGCUGAACUUAAGAUGUCAAGAACACCAACCAACCCCAAAAGAAUAUUUUGGGCCUAUCAAAAAAAUAAAGUUGGUAAUAUUGUGGGUUCUUUCGAUGGGCUGAUGAAAAUGAAUAAUAUAAAGGCAGACAUAGAAGGCAACAAAGACAAGAAGGACUGGGAAGAUAUGAAAGGCACGGAAGACAUGAAAGAUCAAGCAUUAGUUUUGAUAUUAUUGUUAUCAUUAUUGUUUUCAUCUGGUUUCUAUCUGUUGUAUUUAAGAUGGCUUGAUCUUUGUAGUUACAAUAUGCAAUGAAAAUGAAAUUUAAAUUUAAUGACAAACACCAUUUUGCCAACAUAGAAAUCUUCAAUAUAUAAUAUCUUAACAAAAGUUGAAAUAAAAAAGCUUGUCUUAACAAUAUCUUAAAUGAGAAUUGCACCAGAAGUCUUAAAAAAUUAUCUUAACAACACUUGGGAUCAAUAUAAAAAGAGAAUUAUACUAAUGUGUUCCUUGAGUGCUUGUUGUGGACUGAUUCUUGUUGGCUUUAGUGCUUGAUGUGGCUUGACUGGUUGUAGAUGAUUUUGCCUUUGAUCUUUUGUAACUCUAUUCUUGUAGAUGACUUUGAGUUACUGCAGCUCCACCUUUUCACCUUAGUCCAUUUGGUUUGAAACCCACGUCAAUAUUGGUUGAAACUGAACUAAUAAGUGUUGGACUAUGUAACACUUUAUCAGUAUUUCCAGACUGUAAAAAUAAAAAAAUCAUCUAUAGAUGCACUAAUUAGUACUAAUUAAAUGUAAAUUACAUAAUAGGAAACUUACCCUCUCUACCACAUUGCCACUUGGUCCAAACAACACACCAAAACCAGCUUCUUUUACCUUCUUUUACCUUGGUCUUUUAUAUGUAAGAUUUACACCACUUCUCAAAGUUGUACUAGUCUUCCUUUUUUGGGCAACAACACCACUAAUAGGCUACUGAGUUAUAGAUUGUGCAGCAUUAUCACCUACUGCUGAAGUGGUUGUGGGCAUCACAACAACCACAGGCCUUAUAUCAGUUGUUGAGGCACUUGCAAACCUCACACCACCAACUAAUGCAGCAUUUGCAGGACUUUCUGUAGCUCUUGAUGCACUGUGAGCAUUUGCAGGCCUUCAUGCACCUCUUGGUGCACUGUGAGCAUUUGCAGGCCUUCUGUUGCUUGAUUUAGCAUUUGCAUGCAUAUCUCCAACUGUUGAAGCAUUUGCAGCUCUCUCAGUAGCAGCAACAACAGCUGCAAUACUAGUGUUGGCUUGCACACUUGGUUGACUAGCAUAGCUACUACUGAAAUCUUUUUUCUAAAAAUAAAAAUAUGUAAAGGUCAAAAAAAAUUCAAAAAGAGUAAAAUUCAUUAAUAAGAAAAGAUUUAGCUUACCAAAGUUGGACAUCCUUUCUUGUUAUGUCCAAUAGACUUGCACACAGAACAUGCCAUUUUUCUUCCAUUUCUUGUAGCCUCUCCAAGUUUUUUCUUAAUAGGUUCAUCCUUAGCUUUCUUUCUAUUUUUACCUGGCAUUCCUAGCAUGGGAGUAAUCUUAGGUGGCUCAAUUGGUGGUCUUGUGCUUCUUGGCCACAUCUUAAUAUUUGUCAUUGGUUGAAUAUACUUAUCAUAUGUCUUCAAGUAUGUUUUCCUUUGAUACCAAAAAUGACUCCACAUUCCAUCCCUUUUAAUGUAUUUCAGCAAUUGCAUGUGCACAAGGAAUUCCCUUUAGUUGCCAUGACCUACAACUAUAUUGCUUCCUCUUCACAUUAACAAUAUGUGUAUAAGGUGGAUCACCAAUCUCAAAGCCCAUAUCACCAUUAAACCUCACCUCACACUUGGCUGCAUAUUCACCAUUCUCUGCAAGAACUUCCAUAUCCAUUGGUGAUACAUCACUGAUCCAUUUUUCAGAAAAAUCUCUCAUUUGAUUCAUUCUUUCCAUGACUUUGCAUCCUAUUUACUCCAACAUAGUGAUAAUUGUUUUGAACCUAGCAGCUAAAAUCCAACUAUUGAAAGUCUUACACAUGUUGUUCUCAGCCAUAUCACAUCUGCUAUGUUCCUUUAAAAAGGCCCUACAUCAUGCCCCUUUGUUGUACUUGAGCAAAUCUUCCACAAUUCCAACACCCAACUCACUCAUUUCAUUAAGUUUUUAUUGCAAAUACACUUCAAAUGGGGCCCUUGCAACCUACCAAAUUUUUUUUUCUCCUUUCUUCACCACUCUAAACCUGCUUCCAGUUGGCCCAUAUAUGUCUAGCGCACCAUCUAUGAUCACCCUCAUUUUCUUUAAGUUUUAAAUCAAAGCUGAUGCACCUAAGUAACCAAGACCAUGUGUCCUUAGUUUCUUUAUCAACCACAGUCCAUGCUACUGGGUACAUUUGAUUAUUUCCAUCUUUGGAAAUGCAAGACAACAAAAUACCUUUGCAUACAGCCUUGAGAAAGGCACCAUCUAAAUUAAUUAUUAUUCUGCAACACUCUUUCUAUCCACUUUUAAGGCCCCAAGACAAAUAUAAAUGCCCAUAAACACCUCUUUUCCUGGAAUUACAUUCUUGGAUGUCCUAAUAGAUAUAGUGGUACCAGGAUUGGUGGUCCUCAACAGUUCAACAUAGUCAUACAACCUACUAAACUCUUCAACAAAAUCACCAACAUGUUCAUUCAUAAUUCUGAUUUUUGUCUUUCUACAAGUUGUUUUACUAACAUACAAUCCAUAGUCCUUUCUUAAAAGUGCUUAGAUCUGAUGCAAUUUUAUUGAUAGAUCACUCAUAAUUCUAUCCUUGUAAUGCUUACUAAUCCACAAAAGGUUACACAUCUUAUUUCUUAUCCUUUUAGAACACUUGUGUACUAGAAAGUAAGUUUUCACACUAUAAUUUCCUAUGAUAUCAACAAUUCUAAGAAUAAUCAAAGGACAAACCUUAUGCUUACACUUUGCCCUUACCUUUUUCUUCUCAUUAGGUUUCAACUUAAGGUUCACACCUUUUUAAAUAGAGUAACUCUGCAGUGCCUCUCUUAACUCACCAACAUUCAAAAAAACCAUAUACAACUGAAAACAUACCUUCUUUACAGUUUUAUCAAAGUAGAUCUUGCUAGAUGAAGUUCUAGGUAGUGUAUCUACCACUUCAUCAUCAUCAACAGGAUCUCCUUCUUCUUCAUCACUAAUCUCACUACCCGGAUCUGAACUAUUACAAUAAGGGCCAUCGCCACCCAGAUUACCUUCAUAUCUAACCCCCUAUUCUUAUAAAUAUCCUCAAAACUAAUAUCUAUACCUACUGGUCUAGAUGGUAUCUCAUUUAGAUUCACCCUAUUAGCCUUUUUUGCUUUUUUUUCAAUGUUAGACUUCCUAGCUUCAAGCAAAUCUUCAUUAAAAUCACUCAACUCUUUAAUGUUUUUAUCAACAUCAUAAAGUGAAUCACCAUAAGAAUCAGUGAUAUCAAAAUCUAAUUCAGAAUCAGAUGUUUGAAGAUGGUAUAUGGAAAAAUCAUUAACUUGACCUUCACCUAAGUCUUCUAAAAAACCUUAGCUUUUCUCUUUGUUUGCCUUAGGAGGAUGAUUUUCAUUUAUAUACUCAUCUUCAUUUAUAUCCAAUGGAUAAGAUGAAGACACAUCAGCCCUAUUAGUUUUAAAAGGGGUUGUCACGUCACCAUUAAUAAGUAGUAAUAAUGGUGGAGUGGCUGCCACAUCAUCAUUAAUAACUAUAGGUUUACUAAUUUGGUGAACAAUAUAUACAUUACCAAAACUCCAUGUUUUAAACUAUUGGUAAAUCUUAAAACAUCAGCAUCACUAUCUAACCUGUAAUAAUAGCCUUUUUUAUUUACUCUACACCAAAAGCUUUCAACUUUUUCCAUAUCAAAAUCUACUGCUAAGUUAUGAAACAACAUAAUAUGAAACUCAUCUACAUCUACUCUAAUUUUAUCAGGAAUACAAACUCCAUUUGCAUACCUUAGAUCAGGGUCUGACAAAAAGACCUCCCCCCCGUAGGUGAAUUGAAGUUUUACAAUUGUGUCCAUUUAUUUAGAAAAUCCAUACAAUGAUAAGAUAACAUAUACAUUAGUCAAUUAUCCACAAAGCCCUAAUUUUUAAAGAAAAAAAUAAAGGAAUAAAAAAUCAAUUCUGAUUUUACCAAAAAUAAAAUCCUAAAAUGUAAUCGAAAUAACAAAACAUGCCAUUGAAGGCACAAAACUUUUAUACACACGUUUAAUAGGAGCAUUAAACAACAAAAAAAUUAAAAGCCCCAAAAUUUUCGAACCCAAUUCUGAAUUUACCAAAGAAAUUCUAAAAUGUAAUUAAAAUAACAAAACAUGCCAUUAAAGGCACAAAGUUGCAACAAAUAGGUAUAAUAGGAGCAUUAGACAACACAUAAAUCAAAAAUCCUAAAAUUUUCAGACCCAAUUAUCAUUUUAUGAAAAAAUCCUAAAUUCUAGUUAAAAUUUCAAUAUAUGCCAUUGAAGGCAUAUCACCACUACAAAUACUACCUGCAACAACACUACAUACAAAAUAGAGCAAAACCACCCAAAAGAUUGAAGAAAAAAGUUCAUAAUCGCGAAAACCCUAAAACCACUAAAACGGACUCCAUUAAAUCGACUAGAAGCUUCAAAAUAAACUAUCAAAAACUACAACUACCCCAAAAUAUUAAAUACUUACACGGAUUGCAACAACCAUCAACAACAAUCAACCUAAAUUAAGUUAAAAUUAGGAAAAUUUUGAAUUUGGGAUGAUAGAGACGAAGGACGAAGAAGAAGGGUCUCAAAUGCCUAAUUUUUUAGUUCAACUUUACUAUUUAUACUCUAGACAAGUCAUUUCCUACGUGAAAAUUAUUUUACAAAUAUUUGAUGAUGUGUUCGUGAUUGUGCAACACGUUCAACUGAGUAGACCGACAAAGAGUUUAAAAUAUUGUUUUUUAGUGGGUUCAAAGGUCAAGAUGACAAACAUGUAAGUAGAAGUGUUCACAUUACAAAACAGACAUAGUACAAGGGCCCAUCGAACCAUUUUUCUAAAAAUGAAUCCAGUUAUAUUUAUUUUGAUCUACUCUUUUAUUGACUUUAUUGGAAUUUACAUGAAUUUAACAACUUAAUAUAUCUACAUGACAUAAUUUAUGAUAAAUUAGUAGGAAUAAAAUUAAUUUAUUAGCAAUUAUUGAUAAAUUUAAUAUUUAUAAUAAUUAAGGGGAUUUUAGUAAAUUUACUAGUUACGAUACAGUACCAUACUGUCAAACCAAAUAAUAAAACUGUUACUCCCUCUGUUUAAAAAAGAAUGACCUACUUUUCUUUUUAGUCCGUUUUAAAAAGAAUGACCCCUUUCCUUUUUUGACAAUACUUUAAUUUCAACUUUCCACAUGGCAUAUUUAGGACCACAAGAUUAAAGGGAAUUUUGGUACAUUUGACACAACUUUAAUUUAAGGCCACAAGAUUCAAAAGUCUUCUUUAUUUUCUUAAACUUUGUGUCAAGUCAAAGUAGGUCAUUCUUUUUUAAACGGAGGGAGUAUUAAAUAACAAUGAACAAUCCCGUCAAUCCAAAUAUUAUAUUGUAGAGAAAAGACAUAUUUUCCCCCCUGAACUUGUCCUCCCAACUCACUUUAGCACUUAAACUUAACUUCCAUUUAUUUAUCCCCCUUAACAUCUUUAAAAAGAAUUAUUUUAACCACUUAACAUCCCGCGUGUAAACAAGUGUUGCUGGGCACGUAAAAACUCAUUUUUGUCUUUUUAAUUUCUUUGCUCUUUCUUUUAAAUACCCGUUUGAACCCCCCUAACCGUUAUAUCCAUUAUUUUAUAAAAAAAAAAACCCUAAUUUAUCCUCCUUUUCUUCAUCUUCAAUCCAAAAUUUCUUCAAUUCAUGAAAGUUAUGCAAAAAUUAAAAUUGCUUUCUCUUUAUUUGUAUUAAGCCGCAUAAAUUUGUGAUUAAAAAAUAUAAAAUCAAAUUGAUUUUAGCUUCGUCUCUUUCCGUAUUAAGGUAUAAUCUCAUUCAUUACUUUGUCUAUGUUUUGUUAGGAAUUACUUUCGUAAUGAAUUUCUGAAUUACUUUGCUUAUUGUCUCCUUUAAUUUUUUUUAUCGUCUCCUUUAAUUUUGUUUCUAAAUUUUAUAUUAUUUGUUGAAAUGAAUUUCUUGUAGCACACAGUAAUAAAGUCAGUUAACUUGAGUAAACUAUGUAUGGAGGAAAAUAAUUCUGCUUUGAAACAAGUUAUUCAUUGUAAUCAUGAAAUUUUGUUGCAUUUGAAGACAUCUUAGACUUUAAGUAAUCCCGGUAGAAGGUAUUGGGCAUGUCCUUAUUAUGGGGUAAAUAUCAAAUUUUACAUUUUCUUUUGUUAUUUCGACAGAAUUGAUUAAGAGAAAUGAGGUUAAUUCAUUCUUUAUUUGUCACCAUUGAAGGGUCCAAGAUCUUGCGACUUUUGGCAUUAGAGGGAUUCAGAAGACAUUGAUCCAAGGUCCAAAUAUGUGAUUCCUAAACUAAUUGAAAAACUAGGUGAGCUUGAGAAUGUAGUUGAAUCUUGUCAUUUCAAUGAAGUUGAGAAAUUGAUUGGAUUAAGCAAAUCAAUAAUGGAAGGUUCAGAAGAAGUUGACAAGCCUAAAGAAUCCAAACACGAUGAUAAUGGAAUUAAUAUGAAAUUGAAGAAGUUGGAAGAAGAGAUUCGAAAUAUCAAGGAGAAAGAAAAGAAUUGGAGACAAAUAGCUGAAGAAAGGACUAGAGACAAUACUCACUUCUUUGUUGUGUUUUUUGUUGUAUAUUAUUAAUAGCUUUAAGCUAUUUGGUUGGGAUGCUCUAUAUGAAAAAUGGUUCAAUGAGGUUACCUUAGCACUAGGUUGUUGUUAUAUGAUGUGUUGCAAAUCAUUGUGUUGAGUAGUGCAACUUCUUUUGUAUUUGGAUUCUCUUAUAUAUAUGAAGAAGAGAAAGGUUGCUAGAUGAAGUGAAUGAUGUUUGUUUAUCUUUUGUAAUGGUGCAACUUAUACUUCUUUUGUGUUUGUUUGAGUAUUUAUUGUUAAAUUGAUUGCAUUUGAAUCAUUUAGUAGCCAAAAAAUAAGUGCAGGCAACAAAUUGCAAUUUGAAACUGCAAAAUGUCAAAAUACUGCAGGCAUAACAUAAUAGAAAUGCAGUCACAACUGCUGAUAUUUCAACAGAAACAUUAGCUAAAAAAAUGCAAUCAUAGCUACUGAUAUUUCAAUAGAAACAUUAGCCAAGAAUACAGUCAUUACUGCAUCAUUGUUUUCAAAACAUGUCAAAUUAGUGCAGUCACAACUGCAUAGUUGAAGUCACCACAACUGAACUACUAGCUAAGUUAAAAUCACUAGUGUUUCAUUUUACACCAUGAAUACACAAGGAGAAAAACAUAAUCAGGCUUCUACUAAAAAGUUGUUAAACUUGUUUGGCUUAGAUGAUUCAGUUCAGUAACAUUUGACCUUGUCUUCAUUCUUUUCUGUGCCUUUAUGUCUUCAAGUCCUUGUUGGGUCACAACUUUCUUUCCUUUUCAUUUCACACCUGAGGUUGGUUUAUGAUGUCCAAGAUUUCCAGUCACUAUGGAGGAGUUCAUAGGUAUUCCAGGCUGACAAAAAUAAAAGAGAACAAAUUUAACUAAAGACUUGAAAAAGGUUUACUUUAAACUAGACAAAUAUAAUCAAGAAAUUUUAACUUACAUUGAGGAUUUUAAAACCACUCUCUGUAUGAAGCACCUUCAUUCCAACCAUCUUGGGUCUUUUAUAAGUUUUCCCUCUACCUUUUCUAGCACUAGUGACACCAUUUCCUCUUGAUGUACCAGCACAACCAAUAGCAACGGCUCCUCUACCUCUACCAGCUUUACCAACCAGCUCCACCAACAACUGUAGCACCAACUCAUCUACCUCUACCAGCUCUACCAACAACUGUAGCACCAGCUCUUUUAACUCUACCAGCUUCACCAACAACUGCAGCACCAGCUCCUAUACCUCUACCAGCUCCACCAAGAAUUGCAGCAUCAGCUCCUCUACCUCUACUAAUAGCACUAUCAACAGCAUAAGUUGCAGUUUUUUUUUCUCUAUCAACACCCAUAGUAGCAGUAGUUGUUGCAGGAGAUCCUCUUCCUCUACCAGUAGCUGCUGCUGCUGCAGAAGCCUACAAUACAUAAGAAAAAAUAUAAUGAGAGUAAAAAAUAAAAGAAAAUAAAAGAGAAUUAAAAUACUAGUAAAUUACAAGUCAAAUGUUACCUUUGUAGAUCCUUUUGGUCUUCCUCUUCCUCUACUAGUGCUUGGUGCUACAGAAGGACCUACACUAGUUCUAGUGGAAUUUUAAUUCAAUGGAAAACUCUUUUUAUUAUGACCCUUGUUGUGACAUGUGCUGCAGGUCAUCUCAACACCCCUCUUUGACAACUUUCCAGUCCUGUUUUCAUUCUGCUAUCUUUUUCUAGAUUUACCGGGUCUGCCUGGAAGUUUUCUUAUUGUAUGUGGUAUAACAGAAAGAUUGGUUGACUUGGGCCACAUUUUCAUACUAGUACCAAGAUGAAUUAAGUAACUAUAAUUCUUGAGGUAAGUUUCCUUGGUAUAUCAAUGUGCAACAUAGUUAAUGGGUUUUAGCUUUCUAAAGUGUAGUGCAGCUAUGGAAUGACAACAAGGUAUACCUUUUAACAUCCAAGACCUACAUGUACAAGUAUUAUCCCUUAAAUUCACUAUAAAAGUAUUUCUUCAGCUAUUCUUAACUUCAAAACCAAAUUCACCAUUUCACUCAAGAGUACACUUUAUUGAUUUUGAUGUGUUAUCUUGCAACACUUUUAGUGCCAUAGGAGAAAUAUCAGUUAUCCAUGUUUCAAAAAACUGUCUCGACUAUCCUAUUCUUCUCAUUACCUUAACCCUUACUUUCUCAAGUAUUGAUAUGAUAGUCUUGUAACUUGCCCCUAGUAUCCAUGAGUUGAAGCUUUCAGCCAUGUUGUUGUCAACACUAUCACAGCAACUGUGAUAUUUAAAGUAAACCUUAGACCACCUUUCUAUGUUCUGCCAUAGAAGAUCUCCACAAAUUUUAUCUCCUAACAUCUCCAUAUGAUCUAAAUUUCUUCUCAAUUCUUACUCAUAUGUAUAUUUGGUACACUUUCAAAAAUAGUUUCUUCUUUCAAUACCUCUCCAAUCCUUAGACCAGUUGGAUAGAACAUGUCUAGCACACAUUCUCUGUUCUGCAUUUGGCAGUAAAUCUAAAAUUGCACUGUCAAGACCCUUGAAAAAAAUAAAAUAUAUCAGUUGACAUAAGUAUAAAACAAGUACAAAAUAAAAAAUUUAGAAAAUGACUAAGAGAAAAUAAAUGAGGUUACCUUCUGUAUAUCAGUAAUAGUAGUCACUAUAGACCCAUAUCCCAGCUCAAGAUCAUUCCUCACAAGUCUAACAAACCAUCUCCAAGUGAAUUUGUAUUCAAAUUCAACCACUGCCCAGGCUAGUGGUAGCAUUUGGUUAUUCCCAUCCUUACAAACAGCCACAAGUAAUUGACCCUUACAAACACCUUUCAAAAAACAACCAUCAAACCCAAUACAUCUCCUGGCACCAGCUUUAAAUGCUCUUUUCAAAGCAUCAAAACAUAUGUAAAAUGAUUCGAACUGUUUUCUUCCACCUUCAAAAGUUCAUGUACUACCUGGAUUGGUCUUUAAAAGCUCAUCCCUAUAAUCCAAAAUUCUUUUGAACUUUUGUACAUGAUCACCCAUAAUUUGCUGCAACACAAUGUUUCUAGCUUUUCUUGCUAUAGUCCUCCCUAUAUACACCUCCAAAUCAUUUUUUACUAACUCUUGAAACUGAUAAACUCUAAUUCCAGGUUCUGAUGUGAUUCUGUCCCUGUACCUUUCUGCCAAGUACUUAGAAUUCACCAAUUUGUUCUUUGUUGUGGAAUUACACAUGUGGACUGGAAUGUACUUCUUAACUUGAAAAUUUGUAGUCCUAGAAUCAGUGCUUGCAAACAACAACCAUCAACACACUUUACUCUCACCCUUUUUAGUUCAUUCACAAACUUAUCUAGAUCUAGAUGUUCUUGAACAACAUAUCUAGUAAGAGCUUUUCUAAACUCUCCAACAUUUGCAAAACAAAGUCCAAGCUCCCAAACUAUUAAUUUACAAGUAGGAUCAAACAAAAUACUCUUAUAAUUUCUUUUCGCUCUCCUUGUUUUUCCUUCUCUUCUAGCAGGUUGUUCAACCUCAGCAUCCCCAUAACUAUCCUCAUCAGAAUCUAUUUCAAAACUUACCUUAUCAUCUGAAUCAAUAUAUGGCUCAUCUCCAUCUAUCUUGCCCUCUAGACUAUUUUUCUUUUGAGAUAAAAUCUCAUCAUAUCCCACUUUAGCUCCCUUUUUACCUAAACUAACACCUUUUGCUCUAGGCUCUUGUUUUUUUCUCUUUUUGGUUUCAUCAGAUCUCUUCUUUUUGGCAGCCCUCUUUUGUUCCCUCAGAAUCCUUACCUCCUCAUGAACAUCACUAUCAUACUCAUCAUCUUCACCUUCAUCAAAGAAAUCACAAUAAUUUGAUUUUUUACUAAUAUCAAUUUCACUUUCCCAAUCUGAUGGAAUGACUAGGACAUCUGCUGCAGUAACAAAAGCAGUGUCACCUAAAUUAUAAUUAAUACUAGUAGAAACACCACUCAAAUCCUCACCAGUAAUAUAAACACCAUUAACACCACCCAAAUUAUCACUCCUAGCACUACCACCACCAACACCUAAGUCCUCACCCCUAGCAGUAAUACUAUCAGCACCAAAGUACCCACCAGCAGCAAAAAAAAUCACUGCCACAACCAGCUAAGUACUCACCCCUAGCAGCACCACCACCAUCACCCAAGCCCCCACCAAUAGUAGAAACACCAUCACUACCUAAGUCCUCACCUAUAGCAGCAACACCAACAUCACCAAAGUCCCCACCACUACCAAAUAAAUCACUACCACCCCACCUAAGUUCUUACCCCUAGCAGCAACACCACCAUCACCCAAGUCCCCACCAGUAGCAGAAACACCACCACCGCAACUACCUAAGUCCUUACCAAUAGAAGAAACAUCAUCACCAACACCUAGGUCUUCACUCCUACCAGUACCACCACUACUCAAGUUUUCAGUAAAAGUAAGUUCAUGAGGUAUUGCAGCUUCUACAAAGUUCUCUUCAAAACCUAAAUUAUCAUAGUCUCCUAAGUCUUUACUUAACUCUUUAUCAAUAGUAGGACAAGAUUCUCCUCCCACAUGGGGGUCAUUUUCAAUAGAUAGGACCACAUCAGCCUCAUCAACAAAAUGUGUCAAAUAUAAUUCAACAACAUCUCCAUUUUUAAGUUGAGGUAAAAUACCCAAAAUGUCUCUAUCACAUGUUACUAUUACUAAUUUUUUUCCUUUUAGGAGGUUUGAGAUAAACAAUACACGAGGAAAAAUUAUACCCAAUUUCCUUCACGAUAUCAAUAAAUUCAAAGUAAGAAAGUUUAUCUACAUCCACAUUGAAACAGUCAGUAACAGUACCUCCAUGAUACUUAAUACGGAGUUUUUGUUGUAAUUUGUCUCCAUGGUGAAACCUCAAUGUAACAUACACAAAAUCCAUGGUUAAUCUGAAGACAAAUGAAAAAAAUACGAGCUUAGAAUUUAUUCACGAUAAAAACCCUAAUAUCAAAGUAAAACAACCCUAAUAAUCACCUGAGUAGUCAAAUUUCAUCACAGAGCAACAUAGAAAUCAUAAAAAAAAAAACCAUAGAAAUAACCUAAUUUGAAGUGAAAUCGGGUGAAAUCGAGAGGUUUUAGAGAGAGAGAAAAGUCAAAUGGGUUAUUAUUUAGGUUUUGGGGUAUUUGAUAAGAAUGGGUCGGGUUAUAAACGAGAAUGGGUCGGGCUAUAACAUCAACCAAUCAAAGGGCGCGUGCUUAACAACAUGCAACCUUGACUUGGGUUAGGCUGUUAAGGGGUUGAAAUAAUUCACUUUAAAGAUAUUAAGGAGGUAAAUAAACAGAAGUUAAGUUUAAUUACUAAAGUGAGUUGGGAGGACAAGUUCAGGGGAAAAAGAUGUUUUUCUCUAUAUUGUACUAUACUAUAUGAUAUAAUACCAUACCAUACAGUACUGUACAUUAUGAAACCAUCGCAAACUACCAUCCAAACAAAGUGUAAGUUCAAGCCUCAUAGGACUGUAACAAAAAUAAUUUUAAAAUCCUACUAGUUAGCUGCUUUAUUUUUUUUUUUGAUAACACAUGUGAAUAUUACCAUUUCAUCAAGGAUAAACCAAUGUUCUGUACAUCAAUGGAGCAUCCUGCCCAGUCCUAUAAGGAAUUUGGGAGAACCUCAAACAGGAAUUUUUUCUUUUUAAAAAACAAACUAUUACAAGCAUUAGCGAAAAUUCUAUCUAAUAUCCCUGGAUAAUGCAGUGCUUUUUUUUUUAUCCUUUUAACAUAUCUACUUGACCCCUUAUUUCCUAUUUGAUCUGAAGUAUACUACUCUCUGUCUAUACGAUUCUACUUCAAGAAAACUUCCAGUUCCUUGAUAUCCAUACAUGAUAGAUAAAUGCCUAAAAUAUUGCAGUUUCCACCUCUCUUCUAUACUUUCUCUUAUGCUUCAUAGAGUAGUCAGAAAUGGUUUGCAACACUAAACCAUAGCUAGUAGUAACUCCCAUCUAGUUAUGUAGCUCUCCCAUACCUUCUUAGCCUAUGGACAAUCCCAAAGCAGGUGUUGUAUUAUAGUUUCCAAUUCCCCAGAACUGCAGAGACUAUAGUGGGUCUAAUCAAACUCAAUUCCAAGUUAUAAGCAUUCUUUGCUCUGUCAGAAGUCUCUCUUGUGCAGCAAGCCAUAAGAUAAAUCCAUGUUUAGACAUCAAUACAGCAUUUCAUAUUAAUGGAUCCCUGACAUGAGUGUUCUUCUCCCUGAUAGUGCUUCAUAGCUCACAUAAAUAGAAUAUACACCAGAGAUAUUAAGGAUGUACCUACCAUCAUUAUACCAGCUCUGCAUUCCACCUUUAGUUUGAGCAAUUUCCUCCAAUACCAACUAUUGUCAGCAGGUGGUAAAUGAGACCAAAAAUCUUCAUGGUCCUUCAUAAAAAUCCCAUGUACCCAUCUUGCCCAUUACAACUCCUUCCUAAUAUAAAGUUCCCACAUUAGUUUCCUUACUACUGUAAGAUUCCAGCCUUGCCAUUGCUUUACAUUUAGACCUCUCCACUAUUCAGGUGUACAUAUUCUAGCUCAUGAAACCUGAGUCAUCUUUUUCUUGUCCUCUGAAGCCCCCCAUAAAUAAUCUCUACAUCUUUUAUCACUUCAUCAAGUAUGCUCUUAGGCAGAAUAAACACAGAGCCCCAAAAUUAAUGCAUUGAGAACAAUAUGGCUGAGAUUACCUGCACUCUGCCUGUAGAUGUUAGGUGUCUAGCUGACACAUUUUGAAUCCUCUGAGUUAUCUUCAAAAUUAAUUGAUUGCAAUCCUGCUUACUUUAUUUUUUCCAAACUUAACGGGAGGCCAAGUUAUCUGAUAGGGUAUUCACCUCCUGUAAACCUUGCACAUUCAAAUAUGGCAACUCUAGUCCUGCUAUCAACUUCACCUAGGAAUAUACUAGACUCGUCACUAUUUGCUUCAAGACCUGCUGUUGCAUAAAAGAUUUGUAAUGCUUCCAUCACUAUUUUAACUGAAGUUGUAUUGCCCUUAUAUAAUAUCAUAAUGUCAUCUGCAAAUGCUAGAUGAGUAAGUCUCUCACCCUUGCACAUAGGAUGAAAUCUUAAGUCUGAAAGUUGACCCAUCUUAUGUAGAAUCCUUGACAGGUAUUCCAUUACUGAAACAAAUAGCAAAGGGGAUGCAGGGUCCCUUUGCCUUAAGCCCUUUUUACCUAGGAAGAACCCUUACUCUCUCCAUUGAUAUUAAUAGAAAAAGUGGUAGUAGUCACACCCUGCAUUAUAUAGUGUCUCAAUUGACUAAGAAAUUUAUAUCCUUCAAGUAUUUCCUCCACAAACUCCCACCUAACCAUAUCAUAGGCUUUUCUCAAAUCUAUUUUCAUUAUGCAUCUGUGUCACGAUCUAAACCAAGGCGUAACUAUGACGGGUAUCUCAAGUCUAAUAAGGACCGGAGACUACCCCCACAACUAACCAAACAGAACACAAUACCCUCAACAUCAAAUGAAUUCCAAACAUAUAACAAGAUAACAUAAAAUAAACUCAAGAAAUUUAAGAUAUGUCUAUAACCGAUAACCAACCAAACAACUAACCAACAUCAUCACCCAAGAAAGCACUAAUCCAACAAAGCCUUCUAACAACCUGAAAUUAAUAAAGUGUCGGGACAUGCCCCCAACCCUAACAAUGACAAUAUUAAUGAUAAUGUAAACUCUCAAUUCUAAUCUAAGAAUGGAAACUGAUGAAAUUCAAGUCUUUCAGAGAAUGGAAGCUCACCACUUUACCACAACGAAACGAUGAACUGAGCCGAUCCACCUAACUCUGUGCAGAAAAAAUAGAAGUAUCUCCGGUGCCUACAUCGCGUGGGGAUACAAUGUCUAGAGACGGUUGGUGGGGUGAUCAUUGGCAUGAAACUCAGGAAUAGGGGACAAAAUAAUGCCAAGUCUAACCAUUUCAAAUACCAUAUGAACCACAUCAUAAUACAUAUAAAAAUAAUAUACUGGGAUAGGGAACAAAGCUUUAGCCUGGAUUGUGUUGCUCAACCAUCAUGAAAUAAGAAGGCACCCACGAGCUAUAUGGGCCCAGCUUUCCCCCAGCUGGAAGGGCCCCAACGUGUGUAGCCAUACGAACCAGAGGAUGUAUGUAUGCACCAUGGGAGACUCAAACCUCUCGGCAUACCAAGGUGACUAAAGCACCCAAGUCAUGUAAUGUAAUAUGAGGGACUUGAACCACCUACUCAUGUAAAAUAAUAAUAAGGGGGACUCGAAUCACCCAAUCAUGUAGACUCUCACGUCGGCAACCGAGGUUUCUAGUAUUGGUCCCUCGGGACCUCUACUUUCAUGACUCAACUAAAUAGCCUUCAUUAAAGCCCAAUUAAAACAUUUAACAUACAUUCUCAUUUAUUGAAUCAUGAUACGCAUUUAGGCAUACAUUAUCGAUGUCAUCAUACCUUCUACAUUUGCAAGGUAACAUCGACAUGCCAAAAUAAUUAUCAUCACUUCAGAAAAUUCACAACCUUCAUGGUUCAAUUAUACAUUAGCUUGGGGAAUUACACAACCCCAUAAGGUUUAAUUCAAAAUCAUUUUACUUCAUUAGCUUUUCACGUUGUGCAAUACUUCAAGAGUAGUUCACUGUGCAUUCUUUUUAUAUUCAGAACUAAUUUCAGAAUAUGGGGUUGAGGUCAGUAGCACUUUAAUUGUCAAUAUUCACAAAUUGGGGAAAUCACAAUCCCCUAGUUUAUUCACCAUACCCGUGCAUCAAAUCAAUUUUAAAACCGUCAUUUAAAAAUAAUCAAUACAUAUACAAACAAGAAAAUCACAUAAACAAUAAUUAUUCAUUACCCUCAACCCAUGUUCAAAAUCAACAUUAAAAUUUUAUGAAUAAUACUUUAAAAUACAUGUUUUUAGUAAAGUAAUAAUUUGGAAAGAGUAGAAUGCCUGAAAUACCCAAGAUUAUGGGGAGAAUUCAACCCUUGAAGCUCUACUUGACCCAUUUCUUGGAAACCCUAAGUAUGGAUGCUUAAGAGACUUGAGAGAGAAGAAAGAAUAUUUGGAGUGUGUUAUCAAUGAAAAUAGGGCCCCAAGUAUGUUUAUAGGUCAUGAGUUAUUAUUGGGAUAUGAGGAAAAUGUCUAAAAUACCUUCAUUAAAAGAUGGAAAAAUAAAUUAUCAGUCGUUACGGGUCUCAUAACGACUCAUUACGACUCGUCUCCAUGAGUGGUUGUCAAGACAGUGUUACAAGACACACACACUGUUGACCUUAUGACUCGUAUACCGCAUGGCUCGUAAUGAGACCCUACGACUCGUAGGGUCCAGUCGUAGUCAACACAGAAACCAUUUGGGUAUACACUGGACAUCCUACAAUUUACACGCAAUGACCCAUCACAAGUCCUCAUGACUCGUAGUGAGCCGCUCGUACUCAGAGCAGAAGACUUAGCCUCACACACUGGUUAGGCUAUGAUUUGGGUUUAAUGACUCAUCUACGACUCGUAGAGUAAGUCAUGGUCAGGACAAUGAGGAUAAAAUUUUAGGAAUUUCUCAGAGAUCAGCACUGGGGCAUUUCAAUCUAGGUGAUGUCUUCCUCUUGUAGUGUCUCAUUAGAUCACAACGCAUUAACACAAUAUAGAUAAGUAACUUUCCAUAAUUAAAUGCAGCCUGAGUAUGACUAAUUAAUGUAGGAAAGACAAGCUUCAUUCUAGUACAUAAAAUCUUUGAAAUGCACUUAUAUAGGACAUUACAACAUGAUAUGAGUCUUUAUUGGCUAGCAUUAACAGAAUUGUCAACUUUGGGAAUCAAUGUAAUGAUGGUAGCAUUAAUUUAAGUGAGAAGUUUACCAGUCUUAAAAAAUUCCAUUGCCAAAGCCAUCUGACCUUGGGUUGUUGUUCACAUUAAUGGAGAACACAACAUCCUUCACCUCUUUAGCUGCCAGGGGAAGCAUCAAACCAAGUUAUUGAGAUGUCUCCAAAGCAGGUCCUGUAUAAAAUCAGUCUACACGAGCCUUGCUCCUAGCCCCAUCCACAGCACCUAAUAGCUUUUGAUAGUACUUGAAAAAUACCUCAGCUAUCAAUUCUAGUUAAGUCUUCAUCAAACCUAUUCUCAUCUUUCACCUGUGUGAUAGCUUGUGCCAGUCUUUUUUCCUUAAUAAUAGAGUGCAAAUAUCUUGUAUUUUCAUCUCCUAAUCUCACCCAUGUUGCUUUACUUUUUUGCAAUUAAAAGGAUUCAUCUAGAAUUUAUAAGUCUUUAAAUCUGGUACAAGCUUGUUUUUUCCUGCUCUUGAAGCAACACAUAGGAAGGAUCCAAUUGCAGUUUGAUCUAAGCAAGAUACAUAUUCUCUCUUUAUGCUUCCACCUUUGAUAAGAUACCCCUAUAAUGUCUAGUAUGCAAUAUAUUCAGUUGUGUCCUUAACAUCUUUAAUUUCUUAACCACCUUAAACAUAGUAAACCCCUGAAUCUGGACCUCCCAGCUCUUCUUUAUUAUUACCUAAAAAUUAGGGUUAUAGCUUCAGAAGUUGCAAUAUUUAAAUUUUGGUUGCCUCCUCCUCUGUUGUUGUAGUAUAGUUAUAUGAGCAGGACAAUGGUCACUUACACCCUCAGAUAGGUACUGAUACACACAAAAAGGCAUAUUAUUUAUCUAAUCACCAUUCACCCAAACCCAAUCAAUCUUGGAAAUCCAUCACAUCUGCAUGUGUAACUAGAUUACCUUCUCUUCUAUUUCUUUAUUUAGGACAUCAUUAAAGUCCCCCACAACUACCUAAGGUCCUAUAUAACCAGAUCCAAUACCACGCAAUUCCUUCCAUAAUUAUUUUCUCUCCUCUUUUCUGUUGUAAUCAUAAACAUAGUUCAUUAUAAACUCCUUCUGGAAUAGUUUACACAACACCUUGCAAGUGACAUCCUGUGCUGAGUUUUCCAAUAAUGUAAUAUGAUAUAUGUGUGGCUUCCAGACUACCACAGUCCUCCCAUUAUAAUGGGAUGCUAAGUUUGUGAGAUAUUCCACCCAAAGAAUAUAUUAGACAUACUACUCUCCAUAUUAGUUUCUAAUAACCCUACCAUACCAGCUUCUUUAUUUUUUCAGAAAAGAGCAACCUCUUUUUGUUUAUUAUGGCCACUUAGGGCUCUCAUAUUCCAACUAAUAAAAUUAACCAUUCCUUAAAGGAGCAAUUAAGUCACCUAUAUUUCCAACCUAACCAAGUUGUAAAUCCUACACCUGAGGGUCUUUAUCCUGCAGUUGGUAAGUGUUUUUUAUUAGCACACCUUGCUUCAAUGUAGCUGGAGAUUUUGCAGUUUUGAUUGGAAGAGCCCAAGUCUACUCACUCCCCAGUACCUAUCCCUAUGUACCUCAUGAUAUUGAUCAGUAUCCGCCUUCUUCGACUCGCCCUUUUCCUCCUUGAUUGGUACAUUAGUCACUUCAACCUUCUUUGUGUCUUUCUUAUGCACCUCAGCCUUCUUUUUCUGACAUACUUCCUCAAUGUGCCCAUAUUUAUGGCAAGCCUUGCAAAUGGAAGGAUGCUAGUCGUAUGUUACCUUCUGUGUGACCAACAUUCCCUUCUCAUUACAGAACAUAAUUCCCUUAGGUAGAUUCUCCCCCAUUUUCACCUCAACCAGCAAUCGAGCAUAAUUCAGCCCCAUCUUCUUCUCCGUAUACCGACCACCAUUAUUGGCUUCCCUAUUAGGCCACCCAAUUUUCUUAAUCCUUUAGCACUAUAACAUUUGAAUUCAAGCCCUAUAAAUCAAAUCCUGAUUGGAAUUGAGUGUAAUUCUUCACUAGAAAAAUCCAUUUCCUCACUCCAUGCCUUGACAAUACAUAGUUUAUUUGUCAAAAUGCACAAUCCCUCUUGUAGCACUUCAUCCCUACUCUAUACUGUAUCAAAUUGCAGUAGGAUAAUUCUACUUUUCAACAUGAACCAUUGUUGAUUCAAUAUUUCCCCCACAUCCUUUGAACAAAUCCAUUUAGCAUUGCAAAAGGAGGAUGAGCUCCGAGAACAUAGCAAGCUACAGCCGACUUCCAGUAAUCAAUCUCCAAGUUAGUGUCUUCUAUAUCAGUAUUAAUCUGCUUACCUCCCUUCAAAUCAGGCUUAACAUACUCUAUUUUAAACCCAGCAUUAGACAUUUUGGAAGUAUCAAAUUUCUCCCAAAUUGAAGGACUAUCCGGCUUUACCUGAGUCACCUGGGCUUCCUCUUCUUCCACAGCACCUGCCCAUGUUUGGGUUUGUACUGAUUGCAGAGUAAAACACAUCGACCCAUUUCCUCAAAGUAUCCUGACCUGCUUUCAAUUUCUGUUCUGUCAAUUUUGGUGAUACAUUAAUUUGAGCAUCAUUAUGUCUUACUAUUUUCUCCAUUUCCUAACUACGUAGAGUACGCACUACUCCAAUACUAGUUUUCCCCUCUCUAAUUUGCCCUGGAACCUUGCCCAAUGCCAAUGGUUUUGCUCUCCUGCCCAUGGCUGGCGUACAUUAGAACAACGUGCACUCUAAGAGAGAAAAAUCGUCUGGACUUUAGCUACUUUAUUUCUGAGGCAUAUUUUCAAUAGUUAUAGCAAAGAAUAUUUCCUACAUUCAACUAGAGUUUUCUUUUUUAUAUAAUUAAGUUGACUUACAAUAAGAAAUAACACUUCCUACCGAAUUUAAUAACGUAAAACUUAAGAAAAUAAAGUAAUAAUUUGUUGUAGUGAACUUUGCAAGUUGCAAAUAAAUUGAUACUUAUCACAAGAGAUGCCUCAAUAGAUUUAUGGCCUAAAAUCAAAAUAUAUUAAAGGUCCCUAAACUUGUUUUAUAAACAAUCGGGUUAGGAUCCCCUCUGUUGAUCUUUUGCUCCCGUAUUCCUCAAUGAAGGUAUGGGACUGUGUCAACUCAGAAUAUCUGAAGACUCUAAUUGAUUUGUAGAUGUGUAAGGGCCUUCAAUGGGCAUUACGCAAUGUCAGGCGGGUUCUCGAUGCAAUUAUCAAACACAAUGAGAAAUUCUUUUUAAAAAGGAACAAUGAUGAUGAUAUAUAUGUUAAACAACAUUUUUCAGUGAACAAAUGUCUCCCCCUUUCAAAAGAAAUCAGAUAGAACACACAGGAAUGUCUAAAUAAUAAUUGAGAAGUAGUCUGUAAGGAACGAGAAUCUGGUUAUUGCGGAAUUUAGCCAAAUAAUCUUAUAACAACAAUAAUAAAGACAAUAACAAGUUGAUAGUGACAGUAUUUAAAAAAAUAAAGGAGGCACAAAUUUAGCGUGGUUCGGUCAGUGUGACCUACGUCCACGAGCAGAGAGGAACAACUUCAUUAUAUCAACAAGAGUACAAUAGAGAGAUUACAAAAUUAAAGUAGUCACUCUAAUUAACCCAAAUAUCCCAAGAGAACAACCUCACAAGAUCACUCCAAAAGAAAGGGCUCACAAAAGUGUUUCCCAACACCCACUCUCUAACUAAAUACUCUAAUAGAAAGGGAAAAUAGAUACAAGAGAAUGAAAGAAAACUCUUGAAAAUUGAUAUGUUACAAAUGAGAAAGAAGGCCACUAUUUAUAGAGAUAAAAAUGGACUUGUUGAUGUCAUCCAUAAUGAAAAUGAAAGAUGUAAAUUUCAACAUUUGCAUGUGAAUGGAAGAAAUUUUCAACAAAAUCUUUGGUAGCAAUUUUGUUUGAACAAGUAGCAACUUUGUUAGAAAAAUCCAAAAAAUAAUCUUUCAAAAAUAUUUGGUAGCAACUUUCCUUGACAAAGCAAGUGUGAAUCAUAGAAUAAACAAAGGCCACAUUACAAAUCUCCACCUUGACUUGAGUUUGGUUAAUAUAGUAAAUUUCCUUUCUCUCCGCAAAAGCCCAUGUGGGAAAAAUCAUUCUUCACAAAUGGCAAUCAGGCUCAAGAAAAGCUUGAAUUUACUGACCGAAAGACACUUUGUGAACAUGUCUGCAGGAUUGUCUCUAGUGUUGAUCUUCUGAACAGAGAGCUUUCCUUCAAUAAUAGAUUCCCGAAUAAAAUGAUACUUGAUGUCAAUAUGCUUCGUCCUCUCAUGAUACAUUUGAUCUUUAGUCAAGUGGAUUGCACUUUGACUAUCACAGAAAAUAAUAAUACCACCUUGGUGUGGACUGAAUUCAGUAAAUAGACCCUUCAACCAUAAGGCUUCUUUGAUAGCCUCGGUCACUGCCAUAUAUUCUGCAUCGGUAGUAGAUAAAGAUACUACGUGUUGUAAUAUAGCUUUCCAACUAAUAGCACAACCACCAAUGCAAAAUACAUAGCCAGUCAAUGAUCUUCUUUUGUUAAGAUAACCUGCAUAAUCUGAGUCUACAAAACCAACCAAAGUGUUAGUAUUUCUUCCGAAUUCCAAACAUGCAUUUGAAGUACCACGCAAGUAUCUGAGAAUCCAUUUCACCGCCUACCAAUUUGCUUUUUCAGGAUAAGCCAUAUAUUGAAUUACCACACUUACUGCUUAUAAAAUAUCUGGAUAUGUACAUACCAUUGCGUACAUAAUAUUGCCAACUGCACUAGAAUAUGGUACAUGUGUCAUAUACCUUUCUUCUUUCUCUGACUGUGGUGACUGAGCAGCUGAUAACUUAAAAUGAGCAGCACGAGGAGUACUUACUGGUUAGCUUCUUUUAUGCCAAACCUCUCCAAGACCUUCUCCAAGUACUUCUUCUGGGUCAAAAAUAGCUUGCGGGCUUCUCGAUCUCUUCUAAUCUCCAUGCCAAGGAUUUUAUUAGCUGCUCCCAAAUAUUUUAUUUCAAAUCCACUUUUCAGUUGACUUUUCAAAUUAUGAAUUUCUGUUAAAUCCUUAGCAGCAAUGAGCAUGUCAUCGACAUAUAAUAGUAAGUAAACAAAUAAACCAUCAUUUAACUUUUGAAAGUAAACACAACUAUCAUACAUGCUCCUUGAAUAACCAUGACCCAACAUAAAGAAAUCAAACCUCUUAUACGACUGUCUUGGGGAUUUUUUUGAUCCGUACAAGAAUUUCUUUAACAAGCAAACAUGAUCUUCCUUUCCUUCAAUUUUAAAUCCUUCAGGUUAUUGCACGUAUAUUUGUUCCUCAAGUUCGUCAUGUAAGAAAGUUUUGCUUAACAUCAAGCUGCUCUAAUUCUAAAUCAUGCAUGGCAACUAAGGCAAGCAAGAUACGAAUAGAGUUAUGUUUAACAAUAGGUGAGAAAAUAUCAUUAAAAUCAACUCCUUGUAUCUAACUAUAGCCCUUUGCAACUAAUCAUGCCUUAUACCUUACAUCUUCAACCCCUGGAAUUCCAUCUUUUUUCUUGAAAACCCAUUUGCAACCAAUGAUUCUGCUUCCUGAAGGCGGCUUCACAAGAGACCAAGUAUCAUUCUUAUAGAGAGAUUCAAUUUCUUCAUUCAUUGCAAUCAGCCACUUGUCUGAAUCACCACCAGAAACUGCUUCUGAAUAAUUUGAUGGUUCUCUAAUUUCUUCAGUUUCCUGUGCAACUGAAAAAGUAAAUGCAAAAAUGCAACAUAAUCUCCAUACCUUUCUGGUUUGUGAAUUUGUCUUCUUGGCCUAUUUGUUGCUAUGGAAUACUCAUUUGGUUCAACUUCAGAAGUCAUAACUUCUGGCUCAACUUCUAUAGUUUCAACUGUAUUUUGUUUCGCAGUUGAUAAGCUUGGCUCAGAAGGUAUGCCAAGCUCAAUCUCCACCUGUUCAUACAUAUCAUGAUCUUUGCUCUUGGUGCAAGAGCUAGAAGACUCUUUUAUGGAAUGUAACAUGGAGGAUUCAUCAAAGGUUACAUUUCUGCUAAUUAUAAAUUUUGGUGACUUGGGAUAAGGCACCAAAGUUUGUAUCCUUUUACCCUAGUUGCAUAUCCAAGGACAAUACACUUUGUAGCUCUUGGCUCUAAUUUUCCAUCAUUUACAUGCAUGUAAGCAGGACAACCAAAAACUUUUAAGUCAGAAUAAUUAGUAGGUGUACCUGACCAUAUUUCCUCCAGAGUCUUGAAGUUCAAAGGUGCAGAAGGAGCACGGUUGAUAAUAUAACAAGCUAUAGAGAUAGCCUCUACUCAAAAAGCAUUUGUCAACCCAACAUUUGAAAUCAUGCAACAGGCUAUUUCCAAAAGAGUCUUGUUCAUCCUUUCUGCAAUACCAUUUUGUUGAGGUGUCAUUCUCACAGUUCGAUGUCGAGAAAUUCCUUCAUUUUUGCAAAAUUCAUUGAACUCGUCAUUACAAAAUUCCAAGCCAUUAGCAAUUCUAAGCUACUUGAUCUGUUUUCCUGUUUGUUUCUCAAUCAAAACUUUCCAUUGUUUGAAAGUUAAGAAAAUAUCACUUUUGUUUUUAAGGAAAUAAACCCAAACCUUCCUUGAAUAAUCAAUAAUAAAAGUUAACAUAUACCUGGCACCACUUUUUGAUGAGGUACGGGAAGGACCCCAAAGAUCUGAAUGAAUAUAGUCCAAAGUAUCUUUUGUUCGAUGAACUGCUAGAGAUUUGAAGCUGACUCUUUUCUGCUUUCCAAACACACAAUGUUUGCAAAACUUUAUUUUUUUCGAUACUUUGUCCACACAGUAGACCUCUUUUGCUGAGGAUGAAAAGACCUUUCUCACUCAUAUGUCCUAAUCGCAUAUGCCACAAUUUGGUGAUGUCGGGAUCAAAAUAAUUUAAAGUAAAAACUGCAGCAGCACUUGUAACAGUGGAUCCUAAUAAAGUGUACAACGUACUUGAUCUGUGUGCUUUCAUGAUCACAAGAGCGCCUACAGAGACUUUCAAAACUCCACAUUCACCUGUGUAUUUACACUCAAGGGAUUCUAGAGUGCCCAAUGAAAUGAGAUUUUUCUUCAAGUCAGGAACAUAUCUAACAUUGGUGAGAGUUCUUACCACACCAUCGUGCAUUCUAAUUUGGAUGUACCUUUACCAAAAAUUUUGCAAGGAGCAUUGUUGCCCAUCGUUAGAUUUAAAACUAUUAUUAGUUGUCAAAAAUAUUGUUCCCUUAGACUCAUCAGCAGCUACAAUUGCUUCGGUAGAGUUAGUAUUUUGGUGCUUAUUUUUGUUUUCCUUAUGCUUUUCUUUGUUUUUCAACUUAUAGCAUUCAGAAUUAAUAUGACCUUUCUUAUGACAAUAUUUGCACACAAUAUUUCUAGAUUUAGACUUUGACCUUGAUUUAGACCUCUCACUAUUUGAUUCUUUCUUAUUAGAUCUACCUCUUACAAACAAUCCUUCCCCAUUGGUUGCGCUACUUUCCCCGGUAAUAUCUCUAUCUAUCUGUUCCUUUGUUUUUAAGAUAGAUUUAAUUUCUUUGUAAGAGAUAUUAUUCUUUCCAUAAAGCAUAGUAUCUCUAAUAUGCUUAAAUGAUUGGGGUAAAGAAAUAAGUAAUAAGACGGCUUGAUCUUCAUCAUUAACUUCAGCGUCUAUAUUACUCAAAUCCAUAAGAAUAGAAUCAAAAGCAUCAAGAUGUGAAAGUAUAGAAGUACCUUCAACCAUAUGAAAUAUGUAAAGCUUUUGCUUCAGGUAAAGUCUAUUUUCUACUAUCCUCUUCAUAAACAAGGUUUUUAGUUUUUUCCACAUGCCUUUUUCCGUGGUUUUUACAGUACUUUACGUAAAACCUCAUUUGAGAGAUUUAGAAUGAUACCUGAUUUUGCCUUUUUGUCUAUGACGGCAAACUCUUCGUCCUUCGUACUUUCAGGCUCCUUCUCUUUUCCUUCCAGUGCCAGAUCUAAGCCAUCCUAAAUUAGGAUAGCUUCCAUAUUUAGUUUCCACAUUUCGAAGUUUGCACUUUGAUCAAAUUUCUCAACGUAAGUCUUUGUUAUAGUCAUUUUGGCUACUUAAAAAAAACCUGGUUAGAUCCGGCUCUGAUAUCAAUUUGUAAGGAUCGAGAACGCGGUUAUUGAGGAAUUUAGCCAAACAAUCUUAUAAUAACAAUAAUAAAGACAAUAACAAGUUGAUAGUGACGGUAUUUAAAAAAAUAAAGAAGGCACAAAUUUAACGUGGUUCGGUCAGUGUGACCUACGUCCACGAGCGGAGAGGAACAACUUCACUAUAUCAACAAGAGUACAAUAGAGAGAUUACAAAAUUAGAGUAAAUAUCCCAAGAGAAUAACCUCACAAGAUCACUCCAAAAGAAAGGGCUCACAAAAGUGUUUCUCAACACCCACUCUCUAAUUAAAUACUCUAAUAGAAAGGGAAAAUAGAUACAAGAGAAUGAAAGAAAACUCUUAAAAAUUGAUAUGUUACAAAUUAGAAAGAAGGCCCCUAUUUAUAGAGAUGAAAAUGGACUUAUUGAUGUCAUCCAUGAUGAAAAUGAAAGAUGUAAAUUUCAACAUUUGCAUGUGAAUGGAAGAAAUUUACAGCAAAAUCUUUGGUAGCAACUUUGUUUGAACAAGUAGCAACUUUGUUUGACAAAUUCAAAAAAUAAUCUUCCAAAAAUAUUUGGUAGCAACUUUUCUUGACAAAGCAAGUGUGAAUCAUAGAAUAAACAAAGGCCACGUUACAUAAUCUCUUAUAACAAAUCCAAUCAAUUAAACAAGACUGAUAAGGGGAAAAUUCUAUUGGACUUCUAACAGAAUGCCUAUCAGAAGACCAAAUUAUGUAUCCCUGGGAAUGUCCUGUAAUAUCUGAUGACUUAAAUGUUACAUUAUAAGAUGCCUUCUGAUUCAACGCUGUGAAUUUCAAGAUGUUGGGAUUAACAGUCACCGUGAUGCCUUUGAGUCCAAAUAUUUUAACUGUGUAAGCUGAAAUUGCUUCUCCGACGUUAGUCACAGUCCUCGUAUAUGUCUGAUCACUUGAUUCCUUAGGAAUAGAAAAUGAAGGGUAGUUCAACUCUGAUUGAGGUAUCCUUGAUGUACAAUGUACCUUCUUUUUCACAAUGGCACUGACUUGAUCAUCUGUGUAGUUCAAGCCACACAAGUAUGGGAUGUAAUCUUCAGGCUGGAUGUCAUAAACGAGUCCUGGAUCAUUUGCUCUUGAUGGAUUCACAUGCCCUGACCCGAGUGUAAGUAGGUCAGCAGGUUGAAGUGUCUCGUCCUGAAUUGGAUCGUUUCCAAGGUUGAUGAAAUCAGCUGUGGUCAUGAUUGCGGAUUUAACUGCAGCUGGAGACCAAUCUGGAUGUGCGCUCUUUAAUAGUGCUGCAACUCCUGCAAGGUGAGGGCAAGACAUCGACGUUCCAGAAAGGAAGUUAAACGACCAUGAUGAAGAUGAGGAUGCUGUCUCGACCUCUAUAGAGGCUGGCCACGCUGCUAGGAUAUUCACUCCAGGACCAAUAAUGUCGGGCUUUAGUAUGCCCGGACUCUGCACAAAUGGACCCCUGGAAGAAAAGUAAGCAACUGUUGGUGCGUGCUUGUCUCCAAUUCUCGUUCCCUUGAAUGAUAUUGUAGCAACUGGUUUUGAUGUUGAUUUCAUAUAGUUUAUGAUCAUUUUUCCGUUGCUGUAACUAACAUGUGUCGUGGGAAGGACAUGAUAUUCUGAAAUUGUUGUAGAGCCACGAGACUCUUCAUUCAUGAGAAUCAUGCCAGCACCACCGGCAUUUUUCACUACUCCUCCUUUGUCAAUUCUAGACGAGUAUCCACUUGUAUCACACAACACUAUUUUACCCUGGACAUCGCUUAAAUUCAACAAUACAUCACAAUCGUUACCAUUCACGAGUGGUAAAAAUUUUCGUGAAAAAUUUGUUGGCUGGAAGGCUGAUUCUCCUUCAUACUCUGCUCCGUUACCCAAAACUGCUACCGCACUUAUCUUUCUAUCUGUUGUGCUAGCACCAACGGUUACAAUCCAUGGGGCUCCGUUUAUUACACUACCAUUACCUGGUCCAUCAUUUCCUGCAGCAAAACUUACAAAAAUCCCCUUCUCCAUCGCACUGUAUGCACCAACUGCCAUAUAAUCAUCAUAUAAAGGCGGAGACUCGUCUAAUCCAAGUGAAAUGGAAAUCACAUCCACACCAUCUUCAAUUGCAGCGUCAAAUCCAGCUAAGACAUUGGAUUCUUGACAAUCAAGAUAACAGACUUUGUACAUGGCCACAUGGGCUCGUGGCGCAAUGCCAACAGCCGUGCCAUUAGCAUUACCAAAAAAAUUGGCACCAUGCACAAAGUUCCCCGCAGCUGUGCUUGAAGUAUGUGUUCCGUGCCCAUUUUCGUCCCAAGGGGACAUAUCCGGCACAAAAUUUCUGGCUCCAAUAAGUUUAUUAUUACAAUAUGUUGUAAUGUUGAACUCACAUUUGCCUUUCCAUUUAACAGGUGGAUUAGGCAUUCCAAUUUCAUUAAAAGAAGAAUGUUGAGGAGUAAUUCCAGAAUCUAAUAAACCAAUAAUCACACCGUUGCCUGAAUUUGAUGCAUUCCACAAGCCAACAUUCUGAUGCAAGCCAAGGAAACUUGGACUGUGUGUGGUGUGCAUCUGAAGUACACGUUGGGGACGCGCUGAUACAAACCAGGCUUCUUUUCCAUUUCCUUCACUUCAGUUGAUGACAAAGUAGCAGCAAAACCAUUGAACACAUGACGGUAAGAGUAUGAAAUGCGCGAUGAAUGAUUUGAAUUUGUAGGCAAAAAUGAUUGAUGCCAGACAUGUAAAUCUUUUGAAUUAGAAAGAACUUGAUCAUGAAUUUCAAGAUGUACUAUAUAAGUUUCAAAAUCACUUUGAUUAGUGAAAUGGUCACCAAAUGCUUUUGAUGAAUGCAAUAGGACAAAGCAGAGAAAGGUAGAAAUGAGUUUCAAAUCCACGUUUUUUUUCUGGGUGACUAUCAGAUUUUCCAUUACCAUAUAAUAGUACGAAAACUCUUAAUUUAUUAUGGUCCAGUUUGCUGCCAAAUAAUCCAUAGUUAGUAAGUUGACUGAAAAUAAGAAUAAUAUAGUCAAUAUUACAAGGAAGAAAAUUAAAUGGAUUCUUGGCUAGUCAUCAGUUUAGACAUAUAUAAUGCAGUUCAAUUACCAUAUAAUAGUAUGAACACUCUUAAAUGCCUAAUCUAUAUAUUGUUGAUUAGAUCAUACUUAAUUUAUUAUGGUUAGUAAUUCAGUUUGCUUCCAAAUUAUCCAUAGUUAGUUGAGUGAAAACAAGAAUAUUAUAGUCAGUAUUACAAGGAAGAAAAUCAUACAAAUUCUUGGAACUUAGUCAAUAGUUAGUAAGUUGACUGAAAACAAGAAUUUAGUCAAUAGUCAGUAAGCUUGACUGAAAAUAAGAAGUGUAGUCAAUAGUUUAAAAUUUUCUUACAGUCCUUUAAUCUUCUUUAUGGAUAUCCUUACAAAGAAUAUGAAAAUAAGAACAGUAUAAUGAUAGUUUAAAAUUUUGUUUAUUACCAAAAAAAAAGUUUAAAAUUUUGUUUGCUUGAACUUACAGUCCCAUAAUCUUCUUUAUGAAUAUCCUAACAAAAAUAAGUAAAAGCUCCAUAAAUUCCUACUCUUUUGGAGUUAAUUAUUUCUUAUGUCACUCUUUUUUCAAAACUAUUAAACUUUUCUCAUUUAAUCGACAAGAAUAUAUCACAUUCUUCCGAAUAAAUCACUUAAUUUGCACAGAGACAUUACAUUCUUCUGAAUACAUUAUUUAAUUUUAUAUGGAUACAUCACAUUCUUCCAGAUAGGCCAUUUAAUUUUACAUGAAUAUAUCAUAUUUUCCUGAAUUCGUGAUUUAAAUUUACACGAUGUAUCAAAUUCUUCUGUAUUAUAUCUAAGCUUUUAAGUAAAAUUAAAAAUUUAUGUAAUUAUUUAAAAAGAAUUUUAAAUAAUUAUAAUAAAUUAAAUUAUGGUAUAAUGUAAUUUUUUCAAAAAGUAAUCUAAAUUUGGUAAUUAGUAUUCUUUGACCGAACAGAGGAAUACAAACUCACACUUACUUGAUAUUUUGACUUCCCAUAUUACACUUGUUUCGUGUAGAUACCUCAACUCCGUGAAAGUUUUUGUGAUAGAUAAGACUAUGGAUGUUCACUGUUUGGGUAAAAGCAGAUCUAAAUUAAAAAACGAACCAAAUCGAUUUUCGUUUGAUUUGGUCUUACAUUUUUAAAAAUCUAUAAUAUUCGUUUCAUUUUAGUUUUGUCUAAAAAGAAGCUGAAAAACAAUCGAUCGAAUAUAUAUAUAUAUAUAUAUAUUACUUUUAUAAUGUCACGAUCCGAACCGAGGUCCUGACCGCAAAGAGUUACCCGAACCAUGAAGGUCCGAGAGACCUCUUAACUUAUAAUUAUAAGCAUAACUCAUCUAUUAUUAUAAUGCAGAAGUAAACUGAAAACAUAGUAGUUCUAUUAUUUCAACUUAACAAUACGGGACAUAAGUUCAAAAGAAACUCAACACCAUCUAUAACAAGUCUACAAAGUCUCUACUAAACUGAAAGCAAUAAUCUAUCUAAAACCAAGACAAAGCCCCCGGUCGGACCAUGAACUAAAAUCAAAUGAAGUAAACACAUGGACAAAGGCCUUCCGAAAUAAGGGAGGCUCACCAACUCCAAAUAUUUGACAAUGAUCUACUAAUUAGCAGGAUCACGGGACUGGGCCUCAGAACCUGAAAUAUAAGGGGUCAAUACACAAAGAUAUUGGUAUGUGAAACAAUCUAAAAUAACAUAUUUUUAUACAAUAUAGGUGAAAGUAUUUCAUAAAAAAAAAAUAUUUAGCAUAAGGUAAACAAAAACACAUGGGCUUAACUUAAAAGCAUAAAAAUAUUUUCUUGAAAUUAUGACUCAACUCUUCAUUUUACUUCUGAGCUAGAUGGUACACCCUACAAACAUACUUAUCCAUGGGCUAUGUGGACUUCACCCUUAACUCGGAGGCCAAGCCCCCAAUCCGAAUUUGCCGCAAGGAUUGGGGUUGUCAUGCGUACUAUGCCAUAAGGUCGUCGCCAGCUUACAAUCCAUAAUAUACAGCAUCAUAAACCUCUAUCGACAAAACACGGUUUCGGGCUAAGAGUUAUCUGAACUCAAGCCUUUUUAAAAAAAACAACUAGCUCUCUUUAAGCCCAAUUUUAGUCCUUUAAGACCAUGAUUCAUUCUCUUAAAACGUUCAAUACUUAUUCUGUUAAGGGCAUAUCAUCACCGGAUAUCGUCAUACCCAGACUUGCAAGUCAGUCAUAUCGCACCAUAACGUAUUCGUACCCUUUUUAUUUAUGAUCAUGUUAUUGACCACCCAAAAACUUUAAACAUCACGUGAGAGAGUCUUGCUAUAGAUUUUCAUAUGAGUUUUGCCCAAAAACACUCUUUUCAAUAUUACAAUCAUAUGGUGGCCAUCUUAUGUUCGCAUUACUUAAAACCCAUGAAAUCUUUCAAUAGACACAAUGAACGUUUACAACAAGAAAAAUACCCCUCUUCACGUCAUAGACAAUACUAAUUGAUGAACUUUAGAAAGGAAUUCAUUCUCUAGUAUUCUUUCAAAAAUCAUGCAUUUGUACAACCCACAACACUUGAAAUCAAGAAACAUCAUGAUGAGAGAGGGAGUUUCGUUAUUCAUGCUCUCAAUUAAACUUUUCAAAACUGAAAACACAUAUAUAUACGUGAUAAUAAUUCAAUUCUUUGAAAGAAGUUCAAGACGACAUAUACUUUCAUCAAAACAAAUUCAAGAUACAUGCUAUUCAAAACGAUAUCAAAAACCCUUUUCGUAAACAUGAUUAUUAAUCUUUAAACUUGAUGAAUCGAUAAAACUUAUGCCCAUGGAGUUUAGGAUAGUCCCACAUACCUUAAGUUUCUUAACUUAGGAAUAAAACCCUAAUCUUGAUGCUUUCUUGAAGAUUCUUGAACUUAGGGAGCUUGAAUUUUAGAUUAUUUCGAAAAAAUGAGUUGAUUUUUUGUUCUUGGGGGAAAGAGAGGGUUUUCUUGAGAGUGAAUUAGAGAAGAAGGGCAAAUAUUGUCCUAAUAGAUGUCCUAAUUCAUGUUAUGGACGAUUUGGGUUCGGGGAAAAGACCCAAUUGCCCCUCAACCAUUUAAACCAGAACUGGAUGCAACAACGUCACCGUGAUGUGGUCUUAUCGCAGUAGUUUAUUUCCCUCACUGCAAUACGGUCUAUAUGACAAAAAAAUAACACCGCGUCGCGGGAUUAUUGCGAUAAUCCUCUGGUUUCGUGAUCCAAACAUGACCCAAACCCCAUCUAAAAUCUAAAACUUUUCCGAGAUAUGUUUCGAACAUGAAUUAACUCAAAACCAAUAUCUCCGGGUCGGGACGACCAAGUUAAAAAUCCUUCAAGUUUAGAAGCCUUAAAAAUGACUAAAUCCCUAACACUUCGUGAAAGUUUCAGGCCUUAAGCCCCUUAUUCAUAAAACUAAUAGCUGAAUAAAUUCAAAAAUAAUAUGAGGUGUUACAUUAUCUCCCCUUUGGGGUCAUUCGUCCCCGAAUGAAGUUCCUAAGCACACUAAGCACAAUUUUUAAGCAGUACAAGAAUUAAAAUGAGUAGGAUAAGAAUGAUACCUUCCAUAUCAUCAUCUGCGGAUUCAAAGAGAGUUGGAUAUCUUGCACGCAUGUUAUUCUCUGACUCCCAAGUAGUUUCCUCAAUAUUAUGAUUCUUCAACAACACUUUCACCGAAGCUAUUUCUUUACUCCUCAACUUAUGAACUUGGUGAUCUAGUAUAGCUAUGGGUUCUUCCUUGGAUAAGAAAUCCUUCACCCCGAUUUCUUCAACAUUCAACACAAGCGAAUGAUCUCCAAUACAUUUUUUUAGCAUUGAUACGUGAAAUACAGGAUGAACAGAAGUUAGACUGGCAAGAAAAUCUAACUCAUAAGCAACUCCACCAAUCCUCCUGGUAAUCUGAUAUGGGCCUAUAUAACGGGGACUAAGCUUUCCUUUCUUUCUGAAUCUCAUGACUUCCUUAAUAGGGUAGACCUUUGGAAACACCCAAUCAUCAACCUCAAACGCUAACUCCCUUCUUCUAAUAUUGACAUAGGACUUCUGACAACUCUGAGCUGUCUUAAGUCGUUCUCUAAUAACUUUUACCUUCUCUAUCGUCUGAUGAAUAAGGUCAGGCCCAAACAAACGAGUUUCACCCACUUAAUACCACCUAAUCGGUGAUCUACACCUUUUUCCAUAUAGAGCCUCAAAAUGAGCCAUUUAGAUGCUGGAGUGGCAACUAUUGUUAUAGGUAAACUCUAUCAAUGACAGAUGAUCCACCCAACUACCUUUAAAUUCAAUCACUCAAUCCCUCAAUAUAUCUUCUAAGGUCUGAAUAGUGCGCUCUGCUUUCCCAUUCGUUUGAGGGUGAAAAGUAGUGCUAAGAUUUACUUGGGUACCUAAAACCCUCUGGAAAGAUCGCCAAAAUUGAGAAGAGAAUUGUGUCCCUCGAUUGAAUAUAACAGAUACUAGAGCCCCAUGCAAAUGAAUUAUUUCCUAAAUAUACAGCUUAGCAUAAUUAUCUCCCGAAUAAUUAUACACACUAAAAGAAAAUAGGCAGACUUGGUCAUCCCGUCUACAAUCACCUAAAUAGAGUCGUAGUGGUUUCGGGAUCUCAGAAGUCCUGUAAUAAGGUCCAUGUUGAUCAUCUCCCAUUUACACAAAGGUAAAUCUAUCUCUUGGGAAGUGCCACCUGAUCUUAAAUGCUCUACCUAAAGCUAUCUCUUGGGAAGUGCCACCUGGUCCCAAAUGUUCUACCUUGACUUGUUAACAAUUCAGACACUUAGCCACAAAGUUUGCAACAUCCUUUUUCAUAUUAUUCCACUAGUAAAUAUCCUUGAGAUCAUGAUACAUUUUAUUAGAGCCAGGGUGAACAACAUACUUGGAAGUAUGAGCCUCUUCAGGGAUCCUUUCUCGGAACCCAUCAACAUCUGUCACACAUAACCUACCUUUAUAUCUCAAGACAACAUCACCCCCAAUUGCAAUAGCCAUGACCUUUUGUUGACCAACAUCAUCCUUAAUCUAUAUCAAAAUGGGAUCUCUGGACUGUUUUUCCUUAACUUCUAAACAAAGGGAAGAUUUUUCUACCUCAUGUACGAAUACCCUUCCAUCCUUGAAAUCUAGGAGUCUGACUCCCAAAUUAGAAAGCCAGUGAAUAUCCUCACCAUAUUCCUCUCUCCUUCCUCCAAGUGAGUAAGACUGCCCAUGGACAACCUACUAAGGGCGUCAGCCACCGUAUUGACCUUACCCGAAUGAUAGUGUAGGCUCAUCUCAUAAUUCUUCAACAAAUCCAACCACUAUCUCUACCUAAGAUUCAGUUCUUUCUACUUGAAGGCAUACUGCAAACUUUUAUGAUCAGUAAAAAUAUCAAUAUGCAUCCUCUAAAGAUAAUGACGCUAAAUUUUUAGUGCAAACACCACACCCGCUAACUCUAAAUCAUGGAUGGGAUGGUUCUUCUCAUUCACCUUUAACUGUCUAGAUGUGUAGGCCACCACCUUACUACGCUGCAUAAGUACACACCCAAGUCUAACCCAGGAUGCAUCACAGUACACAACAAAACCCUCUAUACCCUAAGGAAGGGUCAAGACUGAUGCAGUAGUAAAUUUGUCUUUCAGUUUCUCAAAACUAUUGUAAGACCCCGCAAAAUCUCUAGCUUAAUUUAGACCUUUAAAGUUUGUCAAGGGGUUUCAGACUUAGAAUAUUUAGCUAAGUAUUCAGACUUAGUUAUACUUUUAGCCUACAAAAAUUGGCAAUCAUGUUUCAUGUCCUUUAUGUCCAUCAAAUAUUGAUAAUUGAGUCAAUUCAUGAUCAGGAAGGUCCAUAGGUGAUCUCAGACCAGUUUCGGCUUUUUCGGACCUCGUUUGAAACAAGUUUGAGUGCCCAAGAUAGUGGGUCGAUGCGAUCUCAAUGCGUCGCGUCGACCAUCACAUCGAUAAGAUAUUUGUUCCUUGGCUCCAGUGCAAUUCCAGUGAAUCAGCGUGAUAUUGAAGUGAUGCGUUAUAUAUCACGUCGAUUCCAUCGACGCACUGCAUCGACAUAUGCGUCGAUGACAUAGGUUUUAGUCAUUAAAAAGUCGCGACUCCAGGGUUAUUUCAGUCUUUUUUCCUCAAUUUUUAGCCCUCAUAACAUAAAAUUUAGCCCCUUUAGAGGCAUAAUACAAUCAUUAUUCACAAAAUCCUCAAGAAUAAAACCCUUGGGCUAUCAAUACAAGAAUCAAUUUCAAGAGAUUUCACCAUCAAUAUUUCCAAAUUUAAGAAAUAAGGUAUGUUUGGUGUUUAUUCAAGGGUCUCUUCCACACUUGGAGUCCAAGAAAACCCUUUUUAAAUCAUGAAUUAUGAUUUUUACGAUGUGGACUGGAUUGUAUCCAUGUUGAUGUUGAUGUAUGGUUUCCAAGUUGAAAUCCUUGACGUAUUUCAUGACAUUAUAAUAGCAUAUAUAUUGAAAUUUAAUUCUCUUAAGUUGAACUCUUGAAUUAUGAAUUUAUAUGAUAGUCAUGAUGUAAUAGCAUUGGUAAUCAUGCCCAAGAAUAAAGUUAUGCCUACCAUGUGUUGGACAAAAUGUUUAAGUGUGUGGAUGGUGCUUUUAUGAUCUUUUGGUGAUCUAAAUGAUGAACUUAUGCUAAAUCUAUAUAUUUUCCAUGACUCUCAUGCUAAGGCUAUGCCUUGUAAGUGUUUGAUAGAAUGCUCAUGAGAUUGGAUUUGUGAAACUAUGAUAUGUUAGUAUGCAUACCUAUUCAUGUACAAGUUCAUGACUUUCAAGUGCUUUAUGAAAUCCCUCAAUGAUUGUAUUGUGAGCUGUUGACUAUUGUCAUGUAUUCAAGAAAUGUCAUGUCCUAUUAAUAUUUAUGCUAUCGAAUCUUAGGGGUAUUUAAUUCCCGAUAAUUUAACUGUGUGCCUUGAGCCAAUGUCAGUUAUAGAGUAAUCUCAGUCAUGUCUUGAUCAGUAAUAUUCUCAGUCAGUUUCAAAACUCAGUAGAACUCAAUCAAUCACAGAACUCAGGAAAACUCAGUAAUCUUAGGGAACUCACUUAGUUCAGUGUCUAUUCAGAUGGGAGUAGGAUUCAGCAUCGAGUGAGCCCAAGGAUGGGAACUCACCUGUCAGUAAAGGGUGUGAUUCUUAGAAGCAAUCCUUGCGUUCUAGAACUAUGUAGAUAGCGUAGGGUGAGACAUCAAACCUGCCAGUUGAGGGUUGAUGAGGUGGCUUAACCUGUCAUAUUUGGGUCCCACCGCUCUCAUUAGAGUACCUACCAGAUGAGGGUAACUCUUCAGUUUCCUUACCCGUGGCACGAUAUUGACACCCUUUCAACUGGGGUUAUAGGUUGGACCCCAAAUCUAUCCAGAAAAGGAGCAUGUCGGUUAGAUGAUUACUUCCCACGGUAUCAAUCUCCAUCUUCAGUAAAUAACUCAGAUAGUUCUACAGAUUUCAUAGACUGUCAGAUACAGUCACUCAGCUCAGUACAGAACUCAGCUAGUUCCAUCAGAAUCAGGACUGUUAGAAACAGUCACUCAGUAAAAGUAUAUCAGUUAUCAGUACAUCAGUUAGCAGUAAUCCAUGUUAUCAGUAAACUCAGUAUUCAGAAUCCUUAUGACUUUAGUUACAGUUAUGUAUUCAUGCAUGUAUUCUCACGCAGUCAUGUUAAUGUUAUUCAGUCAGUUAUAGUUCAUGCAUAUGAACCCUUACAUUCAGUCUUACCUCACUUUGCAUACCAGUACAUUCACACGUACUGACACAUACUUUUCUCAUGCGCUAUGGUAUCUUAUACCAUAGGUUUAGAAGCACGGGCUCUAGAGCACCCUUAAUAGUUCAGAUUCAGCCAGUAGUAGUAUAUUAGCAGUGAGUCCUCAUCAUUCAAGGAUAUACGUUUAUCCCAUUAUCUUAUUACAUUUAGUAUUUCAGUGGACGGAGUUAGUUGGGGGAUUGUCCCAUCAACUAUAGAGUUCAAACAGCUCAGUUAGAGGAUUAUCAGACUAGAUGAUCAGACAGUUGUUCAGUUUUGGUAUUGAGAUACCUCAUUUCAGUUUUUUCCAGUUUAUCGAACCUUAUGUUUGCAUUUAUACAGUAUUAUUACUUAGUUACUGCAGCAGGUACCAGUCAUGGGUUAGCUUAUGGUCCUUCAGGAUUAUGAGCAUCGUGUAGCAUUCGGGGUACAGACUUGGGGCGUUACAACUAUUCUCACAAAAAUCAGACUACAAAAACUUCCCCUUUUCUGAGUCAAUCUAUUAAAUGGAGCAGCUAUAAAGGAAAAAAUCUCUAAAAAUCUUCUGUAAUAUCUUGUCAAACCCAAGAAGCUUUGGAUGUCAAUGGAGUCGUGGGUCUGGGUGUUUUUCUCACUGUCUUAACCAUUUGGGGGUCAACCUUAAUUCCCUCACUAGAUACAAUACGCCCCAAAAAAGUGAUAGCACUAAGCUAGAAUUUGCACUUGGAAAACUUUGCAUACAACUCAUGAUCUGUAAGAGUCUGAAGGAUGAUUUGGAGGUAAUUAGCGUGUUCCUCCUCACUCUCUGAGUAAAUCAAGAUGUUUUUGAUAAAGACUAUGAAGAAUAGAUCUAGAAAUUGAUGAAACACCUGUUCAUGAGGUCCAAAAAUGCUUCGAGGGCAUUAGUUAGUCCGAAGGACAUGACUAAGAAGUCAUAGUGACCAUACCGGGUUCCAAAAAUGGUGAAAUAUCAGCCUCCCUAACCUUCAAGUAAUGAUACCCCGAAUGAAGGUCUAUUUUGGAUAAACAUUUGGUACCUUGGAGUUGGUCAAAGAGAUCAUCGAUUCUGGGAAGAGGGUAUUUAUUUUUAACUGUAACUUUGUUCAAUUGACAGUAAUCUAUAAAUAUAUGGAGGGAGACGUCUUUCUUAUGCACGAAGAGUAUCGGAGCACCCCAGGACGAGACAUUAGGUCGAAUAAAGCCUUUGUCAAGAAGGUCUUUCGACUAGUCUUUCAACUCUUUCAAUUCUGCAGGAACCAUUCUGUAUGAUAGAAUAUAAAUAGGUAGGGUGUCCGGCAACAGGUCAAUGCAAAAAUUUAUCUCCCUAUCUGGUGGUUUCCCAGGAAAGACUUCUGGGAAUUCAUUAACUACAGUUAUAGAUUGGAGGAAAGGACUUUCAGUUUGAGAAUCUUUGACCCGAACAAGAUGAUACAAACAACUCUUUGAUAUGAGCUUACAUGUUCUAAGAUAAGAUAUGAAUUUCCCCCAAGUACUAGAGAAUGCCCCUCCCAUUCUAUCACUGGCUCAUUAGGAAAAGAGAAGGUGAUCUUUCUGGUUCUACAAUCUAUUGUAGUAUAAUAUGAAUGAAGCCAGUCCAUUCCUAGAAUAACAUCAAAAUCAAUCAUGUCCAUCUCUACAAAAUCAGCCAUAGUAUCACGAUGAAAAAUAGACACCACACACUUUCUAUAAACUCUCCUAGCAAUAAUAGAAUCACCAAUAGGAGUAGAAACAGAAAAGGGUUUUGGAAUAUUUUUUAGAUCAAAACCAAAACUAACUGCCACGUAAGGGGUUACAUAAGACAAGGUAGACCCGGGAUCAAGUAACACAUACACACCAUUGUAGAAAAUCUGUAACAUACCCAUAACAACAUCUAGCGAAGCCUCUACAUACUGGCGAUUAGAUAAAACAUAUAACUGGUUACAACCACCUCCAGUAGCAGAAACGGUGCCCUUCGAUGGAGGGCCUGUGGAAUUUGUUUAAGACUUGGUACCUCUAGUAUUCCCAAUGGCUGAUGGAAAGUAACUCUGAAUAUGGCCUGCUUGGCCACACUUGUAGCACAUGUUACUUCCUAAAUAGAAUUUUCCUAGAUGAUCUUUUCCACAAGAACUACAAUGAGGGUAUUGACCCACUGGGCUGAGCCACACUCCCUUCGAAUUGAGUACCCGGUAUCUUUGUGUCGCUAUUAGGCUGGAAGUUAUAAAAUAACAUAUCAACUGGAAGUCUGGGCACUGGGGCGCUAGCUGAAGACAGAGAAUUGCUCCAAAACUUCUUCCUAGACCAUUUCUUACCCCAAUACCACCUUUCUGUUACUGGUAUUUUGAUCUACAGACCUAGCCCUCUAAGUAUGCCUUUAUUUUCCCCUUACCUCUGCCUGUCUCUUUUUUUCCUCUUCUACCUAUUGUAUAUGCACUGAUAACUUGGAGAAAUCCAUAUCUCUGUUCAGUAUAGCUCCCUUAAAUUCUAACACCAAAUUAUCUGAGAGACUGAAUACGAACUUUCUUAUGUGAGCCCUUAUGUUUCCCACUAACUCUAGAGAAUAACGGGACAGAUGGUUAACUUUAAUGCAUACUCUUUGAUACUCAUCUUCCCUUAUUUCAGAUUCACGAAUUCUUUAGGGUUUGCUUCCCUCAAUUCCUGGCGAAAGAAAUGAUUUAGAAAAGCCACUACAAACUGACCCCACACAAAUAAUUCAACAUCUCUACCCCUCAAAUCUUCCCACUCAUUAUACAACUGUAGCUAUGUCCUUCAACUAAUAAGUGGCCAACUCAGCCCCUUCAAUCUUACUAGCAUACAUGACUCUAUAAAUUUUCUUCAUUUCAUCAAUAAACACUUAGGGGUCCUCCUCAACCUUUAUGCUAAUAAAGGUAGGUGGGUUCAGCCUCAUGAACUAGCUAACCCGAGUAGUUUCAGACAAACCUUGCAUAGAAUUCACAUUUUUAGACCAAGGGGACUGAGAAGCCACAAGUUAAGUAAUCAUAUGGAUGGACUACCGAAACUAAGCAUUCAAGACUUCUCUCUAAGGAAGAUGGGUACGGUCAACACCGGACCAAGGAGAUUGAGGUGAUAUAGUUUAGACUGGAGAAACUCCAAGAGUAGCAACAAAUUCUGGAGUAUGAGAUCUAUUACGUGCCCGCAUCCCAUGAGUAGGGCGAACAUCAUCAGCAUGGGUAUUCUGCUUGUUGGAUCUAUGGGGAGGCAUGAUCAAUCUCUAAAAUAUAGGAAAUCAUGAGUUAAGGAACAUUUAGACUAUAUAGCAUGAACUAGAAUAUGAAGAAAAGAGAGACAUUCCUAGAUGCCUAGUAGAUUCGUCUAUAUAAGUGUGGAACGCUACACACCCAUAAAAAGGACUCUAGCUGACGCGACUUCAUAGACACCCUAGAACGAUCAAUUGUACUUCGACGCUAAGUUUGUCGUGACCGGAACUGAGGACCUAGACGUGACGCGCUUCCCAAAUCAUGAAGGUCCGAGAGACCUCUUAACUUAUAAUCAUAACAUACCUAAUCUAUUAUCAUAAUGUAGAAUUAAACUGGAAUCAUAGUAUUUCUAUUAUUUCAACUUAACAAUCUGGGACAUAAGUUCAAAAGAAACCCAACACCAUCUAUAACAAGUCUACGAAGUUUCUACUAAACUGAAAGUAAUAAUCUGUCUGAAAUUAGGACAACGUCCUCGGUCGGACCAUGAACUAAAAUCAAAUGAAGCCAACACAUGGACAAAGGCCUUCCGAAAUAAGGGAGGCUCACCAACUCCAAAAGUCUGACAAUGAUCUACUGAUUAGCGUGACCACAGGAGUGGGCCUCAGAACCUGAAAUAUAAGGGGUCAAUACAUAAAGGCACCGGUAUAUGAAACAAUCCAAAAUAACAUAUUUUUAUACAAUAUAGGUGAGAGAAUUUUAUAAAAAAAAUAUUUAGCAUAAGGUAAACGAAAACACAUGGGAAUAACUUAAAAGCUUCAAAACAUUUUCUCAAAAUCAUGACUCAACUCUUUAUUUUACUUUUGAGUUAGAUGAUACACCCUACAAACGUACUUAUCCACAGGCUAUAUGGACUCUGCCCUUAACUCGGCGGCCAAGCCUGCAAUUCGAGUUUGCCACAAGGAUUGGGGUCUGUCAUGCAUACUAUGCCAUAAGGCUGUUACAAGCGUACAAUCCAUAAUAUAGGAUAUCAUAAACCCAUAUCAGCAAAAUAUGGUUUCGGGCUAAGAGUUAUCUGAACUCAAGCCUUCUUUGAGAAACCAACUAGCUCUCUUUAAGCUCAAUAUUAGUACUAUAAGAGCAUGAUUCAUGCUUUUAAAACAUUCAAUACUUUUUCUGUUAUGGGCAUAUCAUCACCGAGUAUCAUUAUACCCAGACUCGUAAGUUAGUCAUAUCGCACCAUAAUGUAUCCGUACCCCUUUUUAUUUAUCAUCACGUUAUUGACCACCCAAAAAUUUUAAACAUCAUGUGAGAAAGUCUUGCAAUAGAUUUUUAUAUAAGUUUACCCAAAAGCACUCUCUUCUCAAUAUUACAAUCAUAUGGUGUCCAUCUCAUGUUUGCAUUACUUAAAACCCAUGAAAUCUUUCAAUAGACACAAUGAAUAUUUACAAUAAGAAAAACUCCCCCUCAUCACGUCAUAGACAUUAUUAAUUCAUGAACUUUAGUAAGGAAUUUAUUCUCUAGUCUUCUUUCAAAAAUCAUGCAAUUGUACAACCUACAACACUUGAAAUCAAGAGACAUCAUGAUAUUUGAGGGAGUUUCAUUAUUCAUGCUCUCAAUCAAACUUUUCAAAACUGAAAACACAUACACACACACACAUAUAUAUAUAUAUGUGUGUGUGUGUGUGUGUGAGAUAAAAUUUAAUUCUAUUGAAGGAGUUCAAGACAACAUAUACUUUCAUCCAAACAAAUCCAUGAUACAUGCUAUUAAAAUGAUAUAAAAACACUUUUCGUAAACAUGAUUAUAAAUCUUUAAUCUUGAUAAAUCGAUAAAACUUAUGCCCAUGGAGUUUAGGAUAGUCCCACAUACCUUAAGUUUCUUAUCUUGGGAAUGAAACCCUAAUCUUGAUGCUUUCUUGAAGGUUCUUGAACUUGGGGAGCUUGAAUUCUAGAUUACUUGGGCAAAAAGAAGUUGAAUUUUUGUUCUUGGGGGAAGAGGUGGGUUUUCUUGACAUUGAAUUGGAGAACAAGGGCAAAUAAUUCCCUAAUAGAUGUCCCAAUUUAUGCUAUGGAUGAUUUGGGUUGAGGUGGAAAAGACCCAAUUGCCCCCCUCAACCAUUUAAAUCAGAACUGGACGUAACACGCAAUCUUAUCGUGGUAGUUCAUUUCCCUCACCGUGACGCGGUCUGUAUGACGACAGAAAUAACACCGUGUUGCGGGCUUAUCGCGAUAAUCUUCUAGUUUCGUGAUCCAAACAUGACCCAAAUCCCGUCCGAAAAAUCCAAAACUUUUUCGAGACAUAGUCCUUACAUCCCUGAACAUGAAUUAACUCAAAAACCAACAUCUCGGGGUCGAGAAUACCAAGUUAAAAAUUCUUCAAUUUUAAAAGCCUUAAAAAUGACUAAGUCCCCAACACUUAGUGAAAUUUUCAGGCCUUAAGCCCCUUAUGCAUGCAACUAAGAGUUGAAUAGAGCCAAGAAUAAUACGGAGUCUUGCUAUUAAUCUGCAGAGUUACAAAGUCUUGCUAUACAUGCUUUACAAAACCUGCAGAGUUACAAAGAUAAAAACAACUUUCAAAUUAAAAAUUAACAACAAAACAAGAAUCAAGCUGAAAAAUAAAAUUUAUUGGACAAAAAAAAUUGACUCAAUGGCUACACAAAACAUUAAAAAUCCAAACCUAAAUGACCUAAUGACUGGACAAUAAUGAGAUCAGUAAGUAGAGAAACCGCCCAAAAUGCAUUUUCAUCUAGGUGAUGUAGAUAAAAAAUAUAGAGUUUAUAAAUUAAUCUAUGCAUUAUAGAAUGUGAUUCAUAGAAGAGAAAAGUGAUUUUCAGUUCAAAAAAAAUUGUUGGGUAACAAAUACUUCAAAUGGAUGCAAUAAGAUUAAGAAAAAAUGAGAGAGAAUUACUUAAAGAGCAGAGAGAUGAAGGGAAAAAUCAAAAAUCCUAAAGGUAGAAUGCAAUUUCACCAAAGGGAAGAGAGAAAUCCGAAGCUCAAGCUUUGAAAUGAAAUUUUUUGUAACUUUAUGAAAUUUGUCGUAAAUUAAGCUUAUUGCAAAGGGUAAAUAUAUUUUUAACUUUAUUUUUUUGGUAUAAAUGUACUAUAUUAAUCCGACGCUUUCGAGCUUUGAGAUGAAAUUUGUUGUAGCUUUGAGGUGAAAUUUUUCCUAGCUUUAGCUUUGUGCAGAGGGUAAAUGUAUUUUUAACUAUUUUUUGGUACAAAAAUAUAUUUUUAACUUAAACUUGGUGCAAAUAAAUUAUGUCAUUUAAAAAAUAACUAAUUUUUAAUAAAAUAAUAUAUCUUAAAUUGUGUCUCAUGGACAAACGUUAUUACUAGUAAUUUGUAUUAAAUUAGCUAAUAUUCUCUAAGAGGCAAAUUUAGACCCAACAAAAUAAGUUAUGUCACGCGGGUAAAGAGUAGACAUUAUUAGUUUGUAUCGACAUAAUUUUACAAUGUCUAACUUACAAUGUCUAGUUUUAUAAUGUCUAACACAGAGUCCACCCAGAUAAAAGUUAUGCUCCAUGGGCAAGAGUUGACUUUGUCUUAGUUUGUAAUGAUUUGGCAGAUGAUCUAUAACUCUUGCCCUCGAGGCAAGACUUUUAAAUCACAAAAGAACAAGUUGUGCCCCAAAGGCAAAAGUUGACUUUGCCUUAAUUCUGUAAUGAUUUGACAAAUGAUCUACAACUCUUGCCCUGGAGGCAAGACUUUUAAAUCACAAAAGAACAAGUUGUGCUCCAUGGGCAAAAGUUGACUUUGCCUUAGUCUGUAAUGAUUUGACAAAUGAUCUAUAACUCUUGCCCUAGAGGCAAGAUUAGAAACAAGUCCAUGAGCAAGAUUUGACACUACUUUAGUAUUUAAUGAUUUAGUAAAUAAUCGAUAACUCUUGCCAAAGAAGAAAGAAUUUUAGAUCACAAAAGAAAAAGUUGUCCCAUGGGCAAGAUUUGACACUAGCAUAGUUUAGAUUGAUUUGGCAGGUGAUAUAUAAAUCUUGCCCUAAAGGCAAGACAUUACCGGAGGACUCCAAAAGAACAAGUAAUUACUCAUGGACAAGAGUUUACACUUGACAUAAUCGACUGACUUUUAAAAAAUUAGUGCAUUUCACAAAGUUUAACUAAUUGAUUACUAUACAACUCUCGAUUUAGAUGCAUAAUGUGUAGUAAUUAUUGUCUUACAUACAAAACAUAACACAAGGCUUAUAAAAACUAACAAAUACUUAAUGGGCAAUGAUUUAUAUUAUUACACAAAAUCUAACUUAUUGAGUAUUAUAUAACUAUUGCCUUUGGGGGGAAAUGUAGCUCAAAUUUUUUUUAAAAUUAAUGUAUGCCUCAUGGACAACAAUUUACAUAAUUUUACAAUGUCUAACUUAUGAGAUACUCUAUGAAUCAUGUUGAGAAGACUUAAUCAAGGAGUUUUAAAGGAACAAGUUGACACCCAUAGACAUAACAUGUAGUAAUGGUUACCUUAUAGACAAAACAUAGGUCAAGGGCUUUAAAAAAAUUAAUGAAUAUUUCAAGGACAACAAUUAUACUAUUUCACUAAAUCUAACUAAUUGAAUUUUAUGUAGUUCUUUCCUUAGAGGCAAAAUGUAUCUUAGAAAUUUUUGUAAAAAUUAAUGUAUGUGAAACAAGUUACACCAUUUCACUAUGUCUAACUUAUGAGAUACUCUAACAUAAGUUGAUAACUCAAAAAAGAGAAUAUAUCAUGACCUUUAUAUAACUUGACAAAAAUAAACUCACAAGUAAAAAAGAUCAAAAUCAAAAAAUUGAUAUUAAAAUAAACUAAUAAGAAAAAUAAAACAAGAAAAAAUAAUGCAACAAUUUACAAAAGAAUAAGCAAAAGCCGUGGUAAAUUAGUUGAAAGUAAACACUUCAAUUAUAACUUGAGUGACUAUCUUUAAACAUAAUAAAGAAACAAAAGACAAACUUAAAUCCUCUUAAGAAUUUAUCACGUCUUCAGUAGUACAAAAUUUAUUUUUUAUAGAAAUAUGAUCAGGAACACCGGAUGGCAUUGAAGUUAUUAGAGUAAAACUAGAACCAUAAUCUUCAUCUGAUACUUCGCACCACUUUCUUUUCCUAGAAAGCAAGUCAUGGGGAGGUGUUGAAAGAUCAAUUUCGCCGCUUUGAAUCUUGGCACAAAUCUGAAAACUGGUUUCAAACUUGAGUUCAUCUUUAAGAAUAGGCACAUUUUAUUCCUGCAUUUCAUUCACCCCCUUGAAAUUUGCAAUGCCAACUUCUCAUCUGUCACAUGGUUUAUGUAAUCCCUGAAUAAGCUCCACAAUAGAAUCAAACUUGCAUUCUAGAGACUAUAAAAAAAAAUUAAUAAUGUCAACAACAUAAUCAACACAAUUACAGAUAGAAUGAUGUUGUUUCUAUUGAGUAAUAAAUUUAAUGUAAAAUUUACCGUAAUACGGCUCAUAGUCCCAUCUAAAGAAGUAUCAAGAUGAGUCUUACUAGAAGAUGUCACUCUCUGCAUAAAAUUUGCAAAAGAAAAAGAAAGAUUACUAAAGCAAGUUAGAAACUCAACAUUGAAUUAUGAUUUGAACAGUAAAAUAAUAAAGAUAUAUUCAAUAUUAAAGAAAAAGAGAGUGACACAAAGUACACCUAGAUAAAAGUUAUGCCCCAUGGGCAAGAUUUGACCCAAACAUAGUCUUUAUUGACUUAGUAAAUGAUCUAUAACUCGUACCCAAGAGGCAAGACUUUUAGAUCACAAAGAAACAAGUUGUGCCCCAUGGGCAAGAUUUGACACUACUGAUUUGGCAGAUGAUCUAUAACUCUUGCCCUAGAGGCAAGACUAGAACAAGUCUAUGAGCCAUUAUUAAGUACCCAACUUUCCUGCCUACUUCAGCAAGCGUUGCAGAACUAGUUGAGCCGUUGAGGGUAAGCAGGAGAAGAUGUGCACAAAGCCAGCUCUCUUCUAAAAGCUAAACAAUAAUCACAAAGUGGCAAAUCAACAACCUACUAAUAAGUGUUUAUUAUAUGUAUGUAAAUUAAGUAAUAACUGCAACCAAUCCAACUAGUUAACACAUUGAUAAUAUAAAGAACAUGAAGUUGGAGGCUUAUAAGCACAAUGGCGGAGAAAAGGAUCAAAAAUGACAAAUAUGUACAUUAAAUACAAAUAGUUUGCCCAAUUAAAUGAUCUUCUCACUCAUUUUUAAAAUGAAGACCUUAACUCAAUAAGAUUUCAAUGAUUCCACUUUUUAUUUCUCAUUACAGGUCCUGCAAAGUUGUAGAUAAGUACAAGUAACAAUUCACGGUGUUCGUUUCCCUAAUCACUUUUCUUCACACAUAAAUGAAUAAAAUCAACUUAUUCUACUAAAAGAAGGUCCUAACUUCUUUAUUCACUUUUCUAUUUCUGCACGCUUACGCAAUGUAAAUGAAGCCUUAACAUGGUGUCAUUCAUAGAAGUAAUUCAACAUAGUUCAACUAAUCAACAGUUGGACAUAAAUUAAACCAAAAUAGAAAAACAUGUUUAAUACACUCAAUAGAACCAUAAAAUUUCCUUGUGAAAAGAUUUUAACGAUAAUAGGGAGAACAACAAAAUAUUUUGUUUUUAACCUUCUAAAGCUAUACGUUCUCCAGAUUCAAGUCUGUAAAUCAAACUAAGCACACUCCUUCAAGAGUCAUUGCAUUACAUGGAUUAUCAACUUGCGGUAUUUUUGGGUUAUUCAAACACAAAUAUCAAAAGAAUAAUAAUUACAAGAUCAAGCAUUUCCUUGCUGCACCCAAGAGUAAGGGUAUGGGACUGUGGUCAAGUGGUCAAUGAAGUGUUUGAGAACUACGAGGUCUCAUGUUCAAAAUUCAGCGAAGACAAAAAUAUCUAUUCUAGCCUUAGUGAAUAGAGUUUUCCGGUACUUGUUGUUGACAGGUACCCUACAGAUAUGAAAUAUUGGUCAAGGUGUGUGCAAUUUCAACCCAUCACCAGGUUCCAUAAACUUCACCAAGCGUUGGAGACAAAGUUAAGCCGUUGAGGGUAAGCUGGAGAAGCUAUGCACAAAGUCAGCUCUCUCCUAAAAGCUAAGCAAUAAUCACAAAGUGGCAAAUCGAUAGCCUACUAUUAAGUGCUUAUUAUAUGUAAAUUAAGUAAUAACUAAAAUCAAUCCAACUAGUUAGCUAAUUGACAAUGUAAAGAACAUGAAGCUGGAGGCUUAUAAGCACAUUGGCCGGAGAAAACAACCAAAAAGCACAAAUAGCCAAGAAAGAAUCAUAUAAAGAUAAUUUCUGAACAAAAUAAAUAAAGUAACACACUAACACCCUUGCUAGCACAGUAUCUGAGGCACACAUAAAAACAUGCACAAAACAGGCAAAUAAGUUGUCACUGGCCUAACGUAGACACGUUGAAGCUUAUCAAAAAAAUAGUCCUAAUCGCACCUCAUUGUAAGCUAAUUCUUCAGUCAUUUAAGUUUAAAAAAUUAGAACAGAGUGAUUUCAUUAAAGUGUUAAACAAACUUAAUAGAAAAAUUCAAUUAUUGGCAUAUUUGACUUCAACAUUCAUCACUUGUACAUAAUAUUACUAAGUAGAUGAUCUAUAAAUCUUGACAUAGACGCAAAGACCGAGCCCCCAUAGAAACAAGUAAUACCUCAUGGGCAAAAAUUGAUCCCACCACAUUGUCUAUUAAUUAAACAGAUGCUCAAUAACUCUUGCCCUAGAGGCAAGACCUAUCCCACAAAGAAACAACUAGUCUCUAUGGAUAAGAGUUGAGACUACUUUGUUCCGUAAUGAUUUGAUAGAUCCUCUAUAAUUCUUGUCCUAGAGGCAAAAAUUAGCUCACAUUGAUAAAAUAUAUAAAAAGUGAAGUUACAAUUUUUUUAGUAUACUAACAGACAUUAAUGUAAAAUACAUGUAAAUGAUAAAGUGAAUUUAGUAGAAACGUACAUCAACAAUGAUGUCAAUUAAGUUUGAGGGAAAAAGUCCUGAAGAAUUGGAAGCAACAUCCGCUGAGAGACGCUCUAUUUCUUCAUCAGAAGCAACAUCCAUUUUUUUCUGUUUAUCGAGUUUGAAGAUUUGAGAGAAGUCCGAUGAAGAGAAAGAGGAGCAACAGAAAGAUUAUUUGAGAAAAUGAAGAAAAAAUAUGAACAACGAGAAAGAGUAUUUGAGAAAAAUCUGGGAAAAAAAAGAGAAAUAAUAAAAAAUCAAAAUAAAGGUUAAAGACAAAUAAAUUUUUAGAAAAUGAAGAAAUAGAUAAUGGUUGAGAAAAAAGAAAAAAGAGGAAAAAAUAAAGGUUGCGACAAAUAAUUUAAAACAUGAAAAUAAAAUUAAAAAAAAAAGUGAAAAUAAUAAAAAAUAGAAUAAUAAAUUUACAGAAAAAAUAAAAAAGUGAAAAAAAGUAGAAUGAUAAAAGUAAAGAAAAAAAUAAAAAAUAAAAAUAAUAAAAAAUAAAAUUGGUUGUUUGGGGCGGAAUUAAAAUUGAUAAAAGUGGAUACGUAUUUAUUUUUAAUUCAUUAUUAGCGGUUUAAUUUGGAAUAAGCAUGAAUUUUGUUAAAACAGAUAGGCAAAUGUAGGUUUGGGUAGGCAAAUUUAGAACUUGUGUCUGGUUGAAUGUUUGAAUGUGCGUGGGCCGUACUUGAUUCUAAUAUAUUCAUUUGGCCGGAGAAUGCCCCGAGAGAUUUGUAUUGAUUUAUUCGGGGAAUGCCCAAGUAUCAUGUACGCAAAGGAGGCUCGUGAUUAAGGCCCGAGGCAUCGGGUACGACAUUGGAACGCAGUUUUAGGAUUAGCUUAAAAUAGGAUUUAUAUUUUACGCAUGUUUCUAUUUUGGACUGUAUAAUUGGAAUGGACAUUAAAUUUUGAUUUGUUUCGUUGUGUUUGCUUGAUUGAUUGUUUUGCAUGCUUUGUGUGGUUUAUACAUUUAUAAUAUCAAAUUAGCCGAUAUGCUCUACCAAGCGACCGUGGUCGAACCACGGGAUCGAGGGGUGCCUAACACUUUCCCCUCGAUCAACAGAAUUCCUUAUCCGGAAUCUUUGUUCGCAAACCAGUUUAAAGAGGCAAAUUAUUUUGAAAAAGGAUUUCCAAAGGUGACUUGGCACACCCGAUUUAUGCCAAGUGGUGACACUGAGUUUUGAAUAUGAGAAGUCUUUUUCAGAAUAAAUUUUUCAAUCUUUUGUAACUUUAAUAAUAAAAUCCUUUCAAACAUUAAAAUCAAUUUUCUUGGGUAAAAAAAAGGGUGUGACAACUCUGGCGACUCUUCUUGGAAAUUUUCAGAAUUCAAGCUUAUUUUUGAAGUUAUAUCGGCUUAGUUUUACAUUAUGGGUGUAUAAACGUGCUUGUGUGAUUGUUUGUAUUGUUUUAUCAUUGUGAUGUGCUUACGUGCUCUUUGUUUACAGUUUUUCUUAUGUGUUACUACUUUAUAUCUGGCAUCAUGUGCAUAACCCGAGUCAAUUGUUUCUGCAACAAGUUCUGUAGUACACGCUGUGUACACGACCUAUAGUUGAGUCACCCUUAUUUUAGGAGGGGGAGCCGUCGGCUGGUAUGGAGUAGAUGGACAGCCAAAGCAGCCACUAUCGACCAUACACUCCCCUGAACAGCCUUGUUAGUGAACCCCAGCGUAGGUCAGCCUUUAGGUCAUACUUAUGUGCAUCAUAUUGAGACCUAGCGGGGCCCAUUUGGUCCUUUGUAGGAGACUCACCUCUACAGCAUUCCUAUGUGCUAAAUGUUGCAUCUUUGAGGGUAAUGUGAUCAUUUGACGGUCUGAUUCGGGGAAAGUAUGUGUUAGAAGUAAAGUGUGUAGGCAAUGAAAAAUCGAAAAAAAAAAAAAAAAGAGAAAACGAAAAGGUGAAUAAAAAAAAGGGUUUCGUAGUUUUUUUUAGAGUUUUUUAUGACUUUUGUUCUUCACAAUCCAAAAAUUCAAAAAAAAAAGUUUUUUUCUUUUACCUUUUGCAUUUAUUUUCUCAAAAAAAUAAAAAUUCAAAAAGUUUUUUUUUCACCAUUUGCACCAUCUUCUCAAAACACAAAAAAAAACAUCAAAAAGAUUUUCCUUUUGUUUCUUUUGUAAUCAUUCAUAAUUCGAAAAUUUUAAAAAAAGAUUUUUCAUUCAUAGGAGUUUUCAUAAAAGAAAAAUUAAAAAAAAAUGGUAGAAGUUUUUUACAUUUCAUAUAAUGAAAAUACCAAAAAGAUUUUUCUUUCAUAGUUGUUGGUGUCAGUCUUAUGUGGAGUGUCAAAGUGAAAACCAAAAAAAAAAAAUCAUUGUAAUCUCGUCUCCAAGUCAGGGUUCAGUCGGUUAUUUAAUCCUUAAUUGUCCUAUCUGGAUGAAUUACGCACCCCUGAUUCUCCUCUCUCGGGAGUGAGAUACGUAGGCAGCCUAUUAUUGGUUCAGGGAUCUUAUUUAAAAAAUUCAAAAAGAUCUUCUUCACUCUUCAUUUAGAGUAGGUGUCAUAUACAUCUCUCAAAGAAAAUCACAAAAAGGAUUUUUCUUUAAUAGUUUCAAGUUUUAUUUACGUAUGAAUGUAAAAUUGAAAAUUCAAAAAGAUUUUUCUUUGAUAAUCAUAGGUUUCAUUUUGUAUAGGAAUUUUAAAGCUGAAAAUUUUAAAAGAUUUUCGUCAAUUCUUUGACAAUUUGUUAUAUUUUAAGUUUCAACAAAAAGAAAAAGAAGAGUUUGAUCGGCCAUUUUGGCAAGACUUCACGAACUACGCACACCUGAUUCUCCCCUCUCGGGGGCGAGAUACAUAGGCGCCCUUCUCAGGUUCGGUGAUCUUUUCAAAAAAAAAGACAAGUUUUGAAAAAUUAUUGAACUCUAAUGCAUUUGCUAUCUCUUGUCCAGUUAGUUUAAGGUGGUUGGUUUGUGGCAUUUUGGUUGGUUCUCCUUAUUGAUCCAAGUCACAGAGAAAGUUAUGGUCAACAAAGAUAUCGAGUUUGUUUUCACUAAUCAGAUAGGGAGUUUGGGGAAUAAGAAUGUAAGAGCUAAUGAAGAGAUUCAGAAAUUAAGGCAGCAAAUGAGAGAAAUGCAUCGAGCUUGGGCUAAUUGGAUGUCUCCUCCUCCAUUUCCUGCUGAUAAAAAAGCUGAUAAUCUGGAAUAUCUUUCUAGUUUGCCUCCAGUGUCACACGUACAAUUUCCUAUUUUGGUCGACACGCCACAACAUGCAUCAGGACCUACUCUGGGGCAAUAGUACCCAAACACUUCCAAUAUUCAUUUCCUCACUCCUCAAUACAAAAUUACCACAUGCUCGACUCCAUCUGCUGUUCAUACUUUUGCAGUCCCACUCCCGUCUGAAGCUCCUGCUUUUAAUGUCAAUCCAACGAUUGUGAUUCCUCACUCUACAAGCGACCCUGUAUCCAGUAUUUUUAGUGAUCGGCAUUAUGCUCCCGAGCCCACAUUUAAGUCGGCUGGUCCUUAUGAUUGCCCUCAACCGCCUGAAUUUCCUCCUAGCACUGAGAAGCCUGUUAUGACAGAAGAACAAGAGGAAAUAGCCAGAAAAUUGAGAGGUUUGGAAUUGACUAUGAAGGACUUGGGGGGUACAAAAGUGUCUCAUAUAAAGAUCUGUGCAUGUUUUCAGGUGUACAUCUUCCUUUUGGUUUUAAAAUGCCAAAGUUUAAGAAGUAUGAUGGACAUGCCGAUACUGUAGCACAUUUGAGACGCUAUUACAACCAGCUACGGAGCGCUGGAGGGAAGGAAGAAUUACUCAUGGCAUAUUUCGGUGAGAGUCUUUCAGGUCUAGCUUCAGAAUGGUUUGUUGACCAAGACAUCGACAAGUGGAAUAGCUGGGAUGACCUAGCUAAUGAAUUCGUGCAAUAAUUUCAAUACAAUAUGGAGUUGAUUCCUGACGAGAAAUCCCUAACUAAUAUAAAGAAAAAGAGUACUGAAACUUUCAGAGACUAUGCGAUUAGAUGGUGUGAACAAGCUGCUAGGGUGAAACCGCCAAUGAAAAUAAGUAAGAUAGUAGAGGCAUUUAUUCAAGCACAGGAUGAAACAUAUUAUCAACACUUGUUACCUGCAUUAGGCAAGCCAUUUAUUGAGGUCCUCAAAAUGGGGGAAAUGAUAGAGGAUGGAAUUAAGACUGGUCGCAUUGUGAGUUUUGCAACAUUGAAAGCGACUACUCAAGCAAUUCAAAAAGAUUCGGGAAGUGUGGGAGGAAAGAAGGAGGAAGAUACAUCUGCCAUUGUAGUUGGACAACAGGCACGGGAAAGAGGACCACACCAUCAUUACCCACAAGUUCAAACCCAAGUUUAUACCCAAGCUCCACAGAAUCUUUCCCGAAAUCCAUUAUACUCCACUGCCCCACCUCCAUAUCCAAUAUACAAUGCACAAGCCAAUGGUCAAUUACUUUCUUACCCACAAUGGCAUGUACCAACUCUUCAGAAUCUUCCUCAAACUCCACAAACAUACCAAAGCCCUUCUAGGCCAGAUUUUUGGUCCAAGCCAAACAAUGAAAUGAGGCAGAAGUCGAGGGAUAGCUUCACACCAAUUGGAGAGUCGUAUGCAAGUUUAUUCCAGAGAUUGGUAGAACAGGGCAUGAUCACUCCUCUCCUUCGGUAUACUUCUGACCCACAUUCAAGAAGUUUUGAUCCUAAUGUAUGAUGUGCAUAUUAUUCUGAUGUUCAGGGUCACAGUAUUGAAGAUUGUCGUGCUUUCAAAAAGAGAAAUUGAAAAGAUGAUUCAAGAUAAAUCAAUCAUGGUGCAGAACAUUGAUAGUAAGGAAAGCUCUAGUCAUGCUGAUAUACAAACCAGUGGCUAAGAUGUCACGCUGAGCAAUUGAGAAGUCACCCCUCUCCUUACUAGGAAGGGGUUUGGUAGCUUGUUUUAUUUUAUUUUUUAUUGUCCGAAUUAUUUCAGGGUUGUAGUUCGGGAUCUAUCUUGUUUUGUCCUUUUAUUGUUUAUGUUCAAACCCUUCUAUCUUUUGUUUCAACUAAAUAAAGUGUCCCAUUUUUCUUUGUGUUUUAAAUAUGUGUUGUUUGUUUGUUUUCUUUACAUAGUAUAUUUUAUGUUGACUCUAGUGAUAUGACAUGCUAGUGAAAUUUUCAGUUAGAUCUUAAAAUCCAGUUUAAGCAUGAAUAUUAAAUCAGAGGGUUAAAGUUAAAAAAAAAGAGCACAUGAGAAAAUAGAUAGAAUGCUAAGAUAUUUGGUGACAAGUUAAGACAAUUAUUUUGAGAAUCAUAAGAACAACUUGGUCAUCGAUCGAAAGGCAGAUCCCAAUUAGAUCAAAUAGUGGACAUGUGAUCCCUAUAUCAAGAGAUACAAGAAGAUAACCAGCUCCACGAAAGCAUGAGUCAUUCGAUGUGAGGAAUUUACAACAAAGGUGGAGUUUUCAGGAGAAGUAGUGACGCACCGACUCAAUCUGCUUCAAAAGAUAUUGCAAAUGAUCUUCAUCUCUCACUUUCAUAUUGCAUAAUAUGUACUUGCAUUUUCAAGGAUUAAUAUGACGAAGGCAUUUCACUCUGCUAUCCAAACAUCGUGUCAUACUUUGUUCACCCCAUUUGAGAUUUAGUCCUAUUUUAUUUCAUACCCUUCAAGGUGCCACUAGCCGAAUAAGGUCGUAAAUGCAAUUGACCUAAGGAAGUAACUCAGUUUCAAGUCCAUUAACUCAACAACAAUUGGUAGAAAGUUUGGAUGAAAAGAUCAAGCUGCUUAAUCCAAAAUGCAUGUCAUAACCAUUAGAGUUGACUGUCAUUUUUUUGAUGAAUUUGUUGUUUCUUUGUUUCAAACAGGGACAUUCAUUGUAUUUUCUUUCUUUUCUUUAUUUUUGUUUAUCUUUGUUGAGUCAGUUAUCCAAAUAAAAAUUGUCAUUCUAUUUUCUUUUCUUGUCUUUGAGUCAAGUCCGUGUCAAAACAAGUGAGAAAAUAUUUCAAAACUAGCUACCAGCUUCAUUAAUUACACAAAGCAAGACAAAAGCUAGCACACGAAAGAGACAUGAUUGUGAGCCAAAAAGAGUAUGUAGAAAGUUUUGCCAACAGAAAAGUCGGGGAACUCAUCAAAAUACCAAGGUUCAAAGGGUUUAUCUGAGGAGCAUGGCAAAGCAGAGAUACCGUGUUUGUUUCAGAGUCACUCUUAAUAAUCUGAGUGUAGAUCAAUGAUGCAGUAAGUCAAUGACUUAUGCUAAUAGUUGGAAGCAAGGUUAAAUGUUGGGGCAAGAGCAAUUGUUGCGAAAGCUAAAGCCACAAACUAGCCACCAUGUUUUUAAACUCACAAGUUUUCUUUGUAUGAAACAGAAAAACAUGUUGCAUUCAGAUCAAGGAUUUCAGAGCCUAAACAUCAAAGAUCGUUAUUUCUCCCUUCUACAAAUGCAAGAGGCAAUGUUGUUGCACAGGUUGGGUAAUCAAAACCAUGGUAAAAAUCAUAAUUCAAUAUCUCUAGGAGACACACUUCCUUGUCCGGAUGAUUCAGGUCCAUUUAUUAGGUGAUGCACUUCCAAAAUUGAACCUUCACUCCUAGAAGUCGCACUUUCUAGUUGAGUCCUUCCACUUAACCCGUAGGAGAUGCAUCUCCUUAUUUGAGUAAUUCAGAUUUCAUUUAUUAGGUGAUGCACUUCCUAAAUUUAACCUUCACUCCUAGAAGUCGCAUGUUCUAGUCGAGUCAUUCCAGUUGACCCUUAGGAGACACACUUCCUUUUUGGGUAAUUCAAGCGGCAUUUGUAAGGAGAUGCACUUCCUUUUUUGGGGCAAUUCAAGUAACAUUGGUAAGGAGACACACUUCCUUGUUCAGGUAAUUCCAGCAAUAUUUGUAAGAAGACGCACUUCCUUGUUUGGUUAAUUCAUGAAAUACUUGUAAGGAGACGCACUUCCUUGUUUGGUAAUUCAAGCGGUAUUUGUAAGGAGACGCACUUCCUUGUUUGGGUAAUUCAAGCAACAUUUUUAAGGAGAUGCACUUCCUUAUUUGGGUAAUUCAAGAAACAUUUUUAAGGAGAUGCACUUUCUUAUUUUGAUAAUUCAAGCAACAUUGGUAAGGAGAUGCACUUCCUUGAUUAGGUAAUUCAAAUUUUGCUUUUUAGGUGAUGCACUUCCUAGCUUAAAUUUUGAUUUCUAUAAGACGUACCUUGUAGUCGAGUCAUCUCCCUUGAUUCCUAUAAGACAUACCUUUAGUUGAGUCAUUCCCCUUUGAUUCCUAGAAGACGUACCUUUUAGUUGAGUCAUCUCCCUUGAUUCCUAUAAGACGUACCUUUUAGUCGAGUCAUCCCCCUUGAUUUCUAGAAGACGUACCUUUUAGUCGAGUCAUCUCCCUUGAUUUCUAUAAUGAUGUGACUUUCGCAAAAGUCCUUUGAUGAUAAACUGGGGCGAAAUUUAAUUCUUGUGUUGGAACUUUACUUUUCUGGCAAAUGAAACCUCUUUAUAACAAUCUUUGUUUGGAUAAUUUUCUUUUUAGUUUUGAUGUGAUUUCAGGAGCCUGCCCGAAGCACAGGGCGAAUAAAUGAAAAACCAAGCAACAAGGUAAAGAAAAUUAAAAGUUAAACAGAUUGAAAAAUAGCAAGUUAGGAGCGCCUGCCUUCAGAACAGGGUGAAGAAGAUAAAAGCAUAGCAACAAGUUGAUGAAAUAGCAAAUCAGGAGCUCAUCUGAAGAAUAGGGUGAUGAAACUCAAGUAUAACAGAAGUUGUAUAGAUAUGAUUUUUGUAAUUUCAUUUAUGCUUUAACUUGUAAUUUUUAUUUUGAUAUAAUGACAGAGCCGCGGAUCGGAACCUCGACGGGACCUCACUCGAAUCUCCAACUCGAUUGUUCUUCUUUCUUUUGUUUCUUCCUUUGAUAAUGGUCGGGACAAAAUUCUGUCUCGUUGUCUACUUCUUUGUCUGAAAACACUGCAUGUUUACAUUCAAAUGGGGCAUGAUAUAGACACAUAAUUUUAUCCUUAUGAAAGAUUAAUUUUUACCUUCUUACCUUAUCCUAUCAUAUACCCUCAACCAUGUAAUUAUCCCUCCAUAAAAUGACAAUAAAUAAUAACCCCUAACUAAUUUUAUUUUUUUCUAACAAUCUAUCCAAUCAAAAUAAGACACCUACCCACCCUUACCCCUCCUAACCACUACCUUACCUCACCCUCUAGGUAGUCACCACCCACUCACGUUUUUUAUUCCUUUUAACCAACACAUUAAGAACAAAAUAGGGAAGGCACGUGAUAUCUUGAUACCAUCACCCAAUACACAACAUCACAUAUACCAAGGGAGGGGCCCACUGGAAUUCCAUGAUUCUUUCUUUCUAAUUAAUAUAGACAAAGGAGUAAUAGACCAACAGGGAGAGAGAAAAAAAUCACAACAACCUGGGGGGACCACUUUCAUCAUCAUCAUCCAUAUAUCUUCUUCACGAACCAAAAAAAAAAAGAAAAAAGGAGGAGAGAAGAACGACACUCUCCAUUUUUUUCUUUGAUUGACCCUCACAAAUCAACAACACAAAAAUAGAUAGAUAAGAUAUGACAUGAGAAAGAGAGAGCUACAGAGAGUGAGAGAUAUAUAUGAGAGAGUGAUAGAGAUUUGCGAGAGAGGGAGAGAUUCGUGAUUGAAAUUGAAAGAGAACGAUGGCGAAGUAGUUUCCGGCGAGUGAGAGCUUGAGGAACACGAGUUUGGUCGUUUGAUUACUGUUCCGGUGACAGGCUCGUCGGAAUAGCGUCUAGCUGUCAUAAAUUCAUUUAAAACCCAUUGAAUAUAGCUCAACUGAUAUCUCUUUAUCGUUUUGGUCAUAGCCAAAGUUUACCAGGGUUACAGCGACACAAAAUCAUCAAACAAACCUCGAUCUGCUUUUGAUUCCAUCCAAACCCAUUGGAAUCGGGCCGGAUUUCUCUUAUUUCUCAUGAUUUUUAGUUCGAGGUUAUGUGGGUUCGUGAGAAUUUGGUCCAGGUCUCUUUGUUUCUGUGAUUCUCAGUUCUGAGUUGGAUGGGUUCGUUUGUUUAAUGUUCGAUUCGAGGUUUUUGGGCGCGGAUUCUCUUUAUUCGAAUAACAUUGAGUUUGAAAGCUACGAAUCGAGGUCCAAUUCUAUUAUUUCUCUUUUUAUUUCAUUAUUUACUAUAUUUUGGUGUGUUGGAUUGAAUAUUGUAUGUUUUGUUUGAUCCUUGUUGGUGAUGAACGCGUAUUUAUUUUGAUUCGCGGUUGGUUUUUUUGAUUAUGAUUUGCAUGGUGAAAUAGCAUCUCAUUUGAGAAUUAAAAUUGGUUGUUUGGGGCGGAAUUAAAAUUGAUAAAAGUGGAUAUGUAUUUGUUUUAAUUCAUUAUUAGCGGUUUAAUUUGGAAAAUGCAUGAAUUUUGUUGAAAUAAAUAGGCAAAUGUAGGUUUGGGUAGGCAAAUUUAGAACUUGUAUCUGGUUGAAUAUUUGAAUGUGCGUGGGCCGUACUUGAUUCUAAUGUAUUUAUUUGGCCAGGGAAUGCCCCGAGAGAUUUGUAUUGAUUUAUUCGGGGAAUGCCCCAAAGUAUCAUGUACGCAGAGGAGGCUCGUGAUCAAGGCCCGAGGCAUCGGGUAAGACAUUGGAACACAGUUUUAGGAUUAGCUUAAAAUAGGAUUUAUAUUUUACGCAUUUUUCUAUUUUGGACUGUAUAAUUGAACUGGACACUAAAUUUUGAUUUGUUUCGUUUUGUUUGCUUGAUUGAUUGUUUUGCAUGCUUUGUGUGGUUUAUAUAUUUAUAAUGUCAAAUUAGCCGAUAUGUUCUACCUAGUGAUCGUGGUCGAACCACGGGAUCGAGGGGUGCCUAGCACCUUCCACUCGGUCAACAGAAUUCCUUAGCCAGAAUCUCUGUUCGCAAACCAGUUUAAAGAGUCAAAUUAUUUUGAAAAGAAAUUUUUAAAGAUGACUUAGCACACCCGAUUUAUGCCAAGUGGCGACUCUGAGUUUUGAAUAUAAGAAGUCCUUUUCGGAACAAAUUUUUUAAUCUUUUGUAACUUUAAUAAUAAAACUCUUUCAAACGUUAAAAUCAAACUUCUUGGGUAAAAAAAAGGAGUGUGACAACAACAACAACAAUAAUAAUACCAACAACAACAACAAUAAUAACAAUAAUAACAACAACAACAAUAAUAAUGAUAAUAAUAACAACCGCAACAACAACAACAAUAAUAAUAAUAAUAAUAACAAAAACAAAAACAACAACAACAACAACAACAAUACCAAAAACAACAACAACAACAAUAAUAAUGAUACUAAUAACAACAACAAUAACAAUAAUAAUAAUAAUAACAACAACAACAAUAACAGCAACAACAAUAAUAAUAACAACAACAAUAAUAUCAAUAAUAAUAAUAAUAAUAAUAAAGAUACAAGGCCUCAUAUCAUAAAAUUAUUGGGGACAAUGAUGUGUGAAGUCAUGUGAAGUUAGUUUUUAUAAAACAUUUUGUGUGGCUUUUAUAAAGAAACUUAAAAGAAGAUGUGAAAUAAAAGUGUGUUAGGUAGAAUAGUAAAAGUCACAUUUUUCAUAGCUUAAGUUUUUAGUUUGACGUUUAUUAUGAAGAAUCCUCUAUAAAAGUAUUUCAUUUUUUUUGUAUUGAAAGAUGGGUUUUUAUGGUAUCAGAACCAUGUAAUAUUGAUAGUAAUAAGUGCUAUAUGUUCAACAUAUUUUUUAUCAUGAGUAUCAUCAAAAAAACAAGUUACUACUAAAAAUAAUAUAAAAGAAGAGAAUGAUAUGCCACAACAUUUAGAUCUUCUUAAUAAAUAGACAAUUUCUGAAGUUCAACUCAAGCUUAUAUACCAAAUGAAAACUUUUGAAAAAUUGGGUCUCAAACAAAUUGUAAAAACGACUGAAGAAACUAUUAUUAUUAAUGAUGAUCAUGCUACAUUUAGAUUAUUAUUUGAAAAUAAUUUGACUCCUUUUAAGGAAACUCGUAGAGUCAUGCAUAUUAGACUUACACAAUUUGCAUUUAAACCACUUACUUUAAGAAGUUUACCUGAAAACUUUAUAGCUGCUUUAAGAGAUGGAAGAAAUUAAAAUUGAAAAAUGUCUCUUAUAGGGCCUAUUCAAACAAGCUUAUCUUAUGGCCUAGUAUAUUUUAAUGUUUAUCCUAAUUUACAAAUAUCUUUGAAUGGUGAGAAUUCUCUAAAAAUGCUUUAGUAUUAAGUGUUAAAAUUACAUGAUUAUAAUUAUAUGCCAGGAACUGAAGUUAUAUGUAUAUGUUAUAGAAUUUAGGGAAAAGGCAUCGUUUCCACCCUAAACUAUACCCGAAAAGUCUAAGUCACACCUAAACUAUACUAGUGACCUAUUACACACCUUAACUAUAAAAAAAAGUGAUAUUAUUACCUCCCCGCAACCCUCAUUCUAAGGCGCGUGUGUUACACUUAUUUUAGGCGCAUCCAGCCUAUUAAAUAACAAAAGUAAACGGCUAAAAACAUUAAGGGAAAAGUCAUCGUUUCCACCCUAAACUAUAGUUGAAAAGUCGAAUCCACACCUAAACUAUAUAAGUGACCUAUUACACACCUUAACUAUAAAAAAGUGAUACUUUUUACUGACGCGGUGCUGACGUGGCAGCGCGUGUAAAACACUACACCACAUGCAAGUGGUGGUAGCCUGACAGGGUGUAAAUGGUUUCACUUUUUUAUAGUUUAAGUGUGUAAUAGGUCACUAGUAUAGUUUAGGUGUGGCUUCGACUUUUGGGGUAUAGUUUGGGGUGGAAACGAUGUCUUUUCCCUAGAAUUUAUUAUAAACUUAUAUAUACUUUAGAUUCUAUGUGUAAGAUUAUGGAUUUUAAAAAUGAGACUAUUUUAAUAGAAAUAAAUUUUUGUAGGUCAAAAGUUAUUACUAGAAGGCCUAUUAAAUGAGAUGAAAUUGACUGGCCUAUUAAAUGAGAUGAAAUUGACUUUCUCAAAAAAUAAAUUUUUGAAGAAGGUACUCUUCUCAAAAUAAUAUGAAUAGUAGAAUUAUAGAAGUUGAACAGACCACAAAGGGUACUGUUAAAAUCAAAUUUUUCGAUCCCACACCUUUUAUAAAUAAAGUUGAUAAUCUUAGUGUUGCAUCUAAAUUGACUAGAUCAAUCUAUUCUUAUAUUUCUUCUAUUGAUUAUAUCGUUAAUUCUUCGUCUAGAGUUUUUGCUUCUCAAAUUAGAGAAAACAAUAGAGUGAGGAAUAUUAGAUUAGAUAGAGAUAUAUAACUUAUGUUAUCUCAAAUGUGGAUCCAACCGAAUUUGAAUGAAUUUUUCUACAGGUUUGAAAUAAAUCAAAACAAAAUUGAUUUUAAUUCGGGAUUACCAACAAGAAAAAAAAUCUCAAAUGAGUUCUUUAAAUUCAGGUAGGAACUUUUUAGAAAUUGAUUUUUUCAAAACUCUAAUAAAUAAGAAAAGAAAUUCUUUCAGGAAAAAAUUUAUAAAGAUCUUUCUGCUUGUAAUAAGAUAAUUGCUUUUGUCCUAUAAUUUAUGGCUAAGUAUGUUGAUAGUUCUAUCUCUAUGUUAGAAAAAGAUUAUAAAUUAAGUAAUGGUAAAAUCACCAAAUCAAUUUUUCCUCCUCGACAAUCUUUUCAAAUUGAAAAGAUGACAAAGUAGUUUAGUUUACUGCAUCUGCUGAAUUACUUGAAAAUGAUACUGCUAUUAUUCUGAAUGUGUUAAUGCUAUGAUUAAACAGUAUAAUAGUUAUAUGAGCAUAUUGGGCGAACAGAUUGUUUCUAUACAUGAUAGAAUUGAUAAAAUAUUUUCUAAAUUAAAGAAAAUAGAUUAUGGUGAUUAAAAAAAAGUCUUUCUUUUUACCACUAAUAUCCAACCUGCCCCUGAUAUUAAAGACUUAAAAUUAAAUAAAGAUUUAAAAGAUUCAGAGAAAUUAUUAGAAGAAAAAUUUCAUGGAUUAAAAAAUAAUCCUAUAAGCAACCAUAAUAGUAUUAAAGAUAAUCAUGAGAUUCCUAGUGAUAUUCGUAAAAUCUCAGAGAAACAUGCUAAAAAAUCAAUCCAAAAGAUGUACUACUAUCCUACACCUAUUCUCCAGAUUUUUAUUGGAAGAACAAGAGAUAAUAGUCUCUAAUAGUUAUAAUGGAAAUGAAAUCUAUUAACAAAACAUAGAUGAUUACACUGAGAGACAGAUUUCUAUAGUAGUACAUUGAAUGUUGAUGUAUAGUACAAUUUGCAAAGUUCACAAAACAGUGAUAAAAUUAUUGCAGAAAUUAUUAUUGCUGGAUUUAUUGAUCAGUUAAAGGUUGAUGGGAUAAUUAUUUAACCUUAGAUCAGUGUUUCAGGAUAUUACAGUCAAUUAAGAAUGAAGAUGAUCAACUUGUUCAGAAUGUUGUUUACUUUAGUCCUUAAUAUUAUGGAACAUUUUUCAGGAAGAUGAUAUGAUAAUAGUGAGAUCAUUAUCACUAAAUCCGACGGUAUCUCCCUCUUGUCCCUUUCUUCACUCUACUCUCAUCUCCUUCUUUCUUCUUCAUGUCUCCCAUCUUCGAUCAUCUCCAAUCAAAAAAACUCUUAGUAAACCACCAUCAAAACAAAAACCUUUUAAAGCUUUAUUUUUUCGGUGAAUUUUGAUGAUACAGGUGGAUAUCUGGCAAGAUCUGAUCGAAAACAUUUGUUUUCUUAGUUUAAAGAAUUCCAUGAAAGUUAUGUAUCUAACAGUGAACCAUCACAAAAACGAAAACCUCCCAAAGCUUUAUUUUUCUGACGAAUUUCAGAAAUUUUUGACGAUACGGGUGGAGAUUUGGCUAGAUCUGAUCAGAAACGUAUGUUUCCUUCAUUUGGAGAGUUCUACAGAACCUAUGUAUCUGGUGAAUUUUCAUGUUGCUAAAUUUUCAUGUUGCUGAUACAUAAGCUAAUGUAUCUGACUAAAGUUAUGUAUCCAACUUAUCUUAAUGUAAUUGAUACACAAAUAAAUAUUAUUCAUAAUAUAUUAUGCAUGAGAUGAUUUUGGUUAUGAUACAUAGUAAUAGAAUUUCAUAUUACUUAUAUGUGUAGACAUGUAAUUUUGUCCCUCCCAAAAAAUAUUUUUACUCAUUUUUAUUCACUUUACCAUAUACUUUUUUAGUUGAUAAUUUUUUCCCCAAAAAAAUAAAAAUAAUAAAAUACAUAAUACUUUUGACACCUUACCAUGCCACCUCAUACAUCAUUCCUAUUUUUCAUUAAAUACACACUAAUUACUCACGCCAACACCCACAGCACACAUGACUUGUCACAAUACACCGACAAUUCACACAUGGACCCACAAGCACACACAGUCUCUCAUCACUUAACAAAAAGGCACGGCAAAAGGGAAGAAAAGACACACAGAUAGCAACAAUUAUACACACAACCAUCUCAAUUCGAAUUUUUGACUCAAAUAAGCCAUUUUAUGAAGAAAUUGACCAAAAUAAUAUACUUUAUAAAAAUUUUACGAAACUAAUAUAUACAUAGUUGUCAGUAACGUUUUAUCCUAUUAUUUUAUUAAAAAUAUAUAAGGAUCAAAAGUAACGGAGUAAAAACUUAACGGACCAUAAAACGUUACUAGUAGUAACGUUUUAUGGAUAAUUUGUGAGUGCCAUUCUUCUUUUUUAAAGCAAAUAAAAAUGAGACUUAAAGUAUUUUCAAGUGUAGCCGUUUCCCUAAUUUUGAAAGAAAUCCCUAAUUCUUUUCUCUCCCUCUCGUCUCUGUCUCUCAUAUCUCGUCUCUCGUCUAUCGUCUAUGGCUUCUUACUUUAUUUUUUUAGCAAUUUCAAUCAUCUGUGGUUGAUUCAAUUGACAGUGCAAUCUCUUUCAUCGAAGUAAUUAAUCGUUCGUGUUUCAGAUUGCGAAACCCUAGCCUCAAAUUUUGGUAUGAAUAUACUCUCUGUUCUCCUUGCCUCAACUUGACUCUCUAUUUUAAACUUUAUAUUUCUCAAAUUUUAUUCAACUAUGCUCAAAAUUAUGAACAAUUAUUUGUAGACAAAGAAAUGGGAUAUUUUUUGAAGGAGAAAGAAUUAUCUGUAGACUUUGUUAGAGAAUAAUUUUUCCUUUAUGGCUGAUUAAUUUGUUUAUUAUAGUGAAAAUAUUUACUUAUGUAUAGGUACCUUUUUUAUGGCUGGUAGUAGUUCAUAAAAGUUUGAUUUUGGGCCACUUGAACCGUCUGUAUUAACUGAACAACUCACUCAUAGGUCACGGGAUAUAUGGGAUGGAAGUGUUGAUAUGGUUCUUAAUAUGAGAAAGAGUGAUGAAGGUUUUUGGAAGCUCGUAGAAAAAUAUCCUAUCCAUCCACGAGUUUUAGAAGUGAUUAGAUUAUCUGGAUUGUAUGGUGUUUAUAAAUGUAAUAGGCCUGCUAUCGACGUAGUUUGAUCACUUCAUUAGUUGAGUGGUGGCAUCCUGAAACACAUACUUUCCACUUUAGAACAGGUGAAGCAACUAUCACCUUGCAAUAUGUCGAGGUAUUGUUUAGAUUACCCGUGAAUGAUGCUCCGGUACUUGGUACUGAGACGACGAGAACUAUUACAGAUUGACAAAACAUUUGUCAAAGAUUAUUAGGUUUUUUCCAUCUCUUCAGAACUUUAUAAAUAGUUUCCUCAAGGUCUUCGCGCUUAAAGCACACCUGCUAAGUGAGCCACAAUUGUCAGACAUGACAACCCAAGAAAUAGUCAAUCAGAAGGCUAGGUGUUACAUGUUUUGGAUGAUUGCGGGUAUGAUGAUGACAGAUACAUCUGGUGCUUAUUUGAAGCUUAUGUACCUCCCUAUGCUUGAGGAUGUCAAUACAAUUGGGUCUUAUAGUUGGGGUAGUGCAACUUUAGCGUACUUGUAUCACUUUCUUUGUAAAGCCUCACAAAGUACCCAAAAUGAGAUAGCCGGAUUUCUACCACUACUUCAGGUAUAUCUAAUAAUUCUAAUAAUUGUACAAAUAUAUUGAUAUUUCUUUUAGUUUUUUUAUAUAUAUAUAUCAGGUUUGGGCAUGGGAGAGGAACACUGUCCUUAGGCCACAGAUAGUAGGAAAAAGAGGUACAAGAAAUAUUUUUCCUACUGGUUUACCUAGGGGUCCAUAUGCUACUAGAUGGUUUGCACACUUUAGUUGGACUAACACUUCUAAGCAUGUGAUGAAAGUUUAUAGGGAUGUACUUGACUCUAUGACAGAAAAUCAGGUAGAUUGUGUAUAAUUUUUUUCUUUGAUUUUAUGUCUAGAUUGUGUAUAAUUUUUUUCUUUGAUUUUAUGUCAAUUGUAAAUAUAACUUAUUUGCUUUUUCCUUUUUCAUAUAGUUUAUCUGGCAACCAUAUAGUAAUGACUUAAUUGAGAGUCUUCCUGACUAUUGUCGUGCUGGAUGAGACAUGUGGCGUGUUAGAGUUCCAAUCUUUUGUCGGGAUGUGGUAGAGGUUCCCUUGCCUGAUAGAGUAAUGAGGCAAUUUGGAUUGCAACAGGUGUUUGCAAAUCCAUUUCUGUUUGAUUCCACCAACUUUCAUCAUGAUCGUCGGGGAAGGCCAAAUACAAACUGGGAGUUAGAACAUGCACAAUGGUUACUUUUUUGAAACGAGCGAGAACAAUUUAUCUGUAAUGCACUGGUCAAUCAGAACAAUUUAUCUAUAAUGCACCAGUCAAUCAUGGACCACUUCGGUAUGACGACCCCUACCUUAUUUGGUUCAGACGUAUUACUCGUCUUCUCAUUGUAAUCCUAAUCCCCAUCCUCAAUGCCAACAAGGUUAUGUGCCUAAUUCAACUGCAUACGAAACAAUGGUAAGUAGAACUUUGCUUGUCUUAUUUUUAUUUAUCUAACAUAUGUUAAUAAUAAUCAUAACCUCAAGAGUAGGAACUUAUCUUUUUUUUUUUAAUCUUUUUGAUGCUUUUACAAUUAAAUGUUUUUACUUUAAUUCACAGGCACGUCAUAUUCAUUCGAUGGUUGACAAAGAUAAAUCACUUGGA
rnacentral:lncRNA from 1 species